AGAAUUAUAUAUUGGUUCGGAUUCAAUGUGAAUCCUAAUCCAGUCCCGUUGGGUUGCAAGGGAUUUCUCUUCAAAUCAAUGAUUUUCCUUUGAGUACAGGUGUGGUAUUUGUCGCACAGUCUAUUGUCACUCGUUUGAUAUAAUGCCUCACCAAUUGUGAACCUUCUUUCUAUCUCUUACUUGUUACAUAGUUAAUAUUUCUAGACUACUAUGCUUGUUUGCAGUAAAUUGAAGAGAGAUAUUUGGUUUGAUCAAAGUAUAUCUUAGCUAGGGUUUACAAGGAUGUUUAAAUACUUUGAUGGAUGAUGGAGGCUUGACAACCCAAGAAAUUUUAUCCUUGGAAAGAAUUGAUUCUUUCCAAGACAAAGAAGUGAGACAUUGCUUUUCUAGAUUGCUCCUUGAUUGAUGAUGUUUCCAAGUUUGGUCGCGUACAAGAUUUUCUCCUUGAUCUGGAGAUAUGAUUGAACUUUGAUUGCCUUUGAUUGCAGAUCCUCCAGUUUUGUCUUCCUUCUAUAUCUUCCUGUUAUCAUCAGAGAUUUGUGCUGAAUCUUUUGUUGUGUCUGGGUAGAUAUGAUUUCCCACAAUUUACGUAAGACUUCCUGAUUUGCUGAUUAGAAGAUGAUCCUUUCCUUGAGCGUCAACAACUACCUUAAAGUAAGAUUUCCUUCAUUUACGCUACAACAAUUUUGCUUUCUUGUUCGAACAUAAUGGCAGUCUCUCUUUUAGCUCUUUCCUUGUUUGCUAUAGUAGUUCCAGUACUUCCGCUUCCCCUUAUUUUUGAAUGCCAGCACAUGUAUAUUAAUUACAUCAUUAAAAUCUGAUCUAACAAUCUCCCCCUUUUAAUGAUGGCAAAAUUAAUAUACGAGAGAAUAAACAACAGUUGACUUUCCUGUUUAUGUGUAGUCGGAUUACUCCCCCUCAAUGUAUGCUCAACUGGACUUUGUGCAUUUGAAUUGCUCCCCCUCAUUAUGUGCAGUUCGAUAGAUACCUGUCAAGUAUAAACUAAAAAACACAAGGAUCAUGAGUUAUUGACUGUAAAGUCAAUUGAGACAUAUUUGUUCAAUAGAGUCGACUUGUCCUGUUCAGAUAAGAUAAUAGUUAUGCCACAACAUAGUCAACUUAAACAUAUAUACCAUGCAUAGUUGAUUUGACCUGUAUACCUAUAUACAAACUAUGCCAUAGCAUAGUCAGCCGAAAAAAGAUCCUGCAUAUAUAUAUAUAUAUAUAUAUAUAUAUAUAUAUUCUCCCAUACCCGUUGCACAGCCACCCUGAUUUUGGAGACAUCAGACCAUGUUUCCUUGGAAAUGGUAUGAAUGGUGUCCACAGUCGGCUUGAUAUCUGAGAGUUGAGAUUUAAGGGAACACAGUUUUUCACUAAGGUUUGUGGGUAUAGGAGAGGGUGGAAGGACGAUGGCCUGGUUUCCUCAGGAGUAGGCUUAGCAUCACUUUCUCCCUUUUUGACCCAGACCCCUUUGAUGCUCACAUACCCCAUGCUAGAGAAGGCUCUAGAGUUGUAGCAUUUGGACACAGAAACGAAGGGGUAAUCUGAAAGUGAGAUUUGAUGUACUUCCAGUAUGUGAGUAAUGUCUAUACCAUACGGAAGGCUAGUGGGGUCUUCAGCACUCUCAAUCAUGAAGUUGAUGACCCAGGAAGACAACUUGAUUUUGAGUUUUGAUAUGAGACAAUAGACAAAGAAGGUGUCCCUUUGGGAGAGAGUGGAGAAGGAUCCAGUUCUGGAAAGGAGAGUGGUGGAAACAAUGUGGGCAAGAACCCUAGUUUCAAAGCUAACAUCAGUGGGCCCUAAUUGAUUGGGAAGAUUCUCAGAAGGUUUUUCUGCAAUAAUCUGUUUGGCUGAUCAAAAGAGAUUUCAAAGUCUUCAGGCCAUACAUUUUUGAACACUGUUGGGAAACCAAAACAGUGACAGAGAAAAAAGGAAUCAAACAGGCUACAGUCAAGAACAAGGGUUUCAAGCCUUUCAGAUUUGCUAGAGCAAAGAUUGGCAUAGAACAUACGAACAAGAGAUUCAUAUACUUUAGGUGGAGAAAUAGAUAGAAACUUGUCCCACCUUUGAUAAGCAAAAAGAUCCUUUACCUUACAGUUGAGUGAUUCCAUACUAUCAAGAUAUACCAGACGGCCAUGGGCAAUGGGCUUUUAUUUGAGCAAAAUAAAGAAGUCCCUAUUUGGGGAUUCCCAGAAAUUUAGUUCAGAGUCAAGAGAGGCAGAGAAAUCAAACUUGGCUUUCUUGAGGGUGGAGACGAAAGAUUCAUCCAUGGGUCGUUUGCCAGCAGACUUGUCACUAGGAAGUAGGGAGUGCUCAGAAUAUGCACCUUGAGAGGAGGCACACUCCUCGGAGUGGUCAGACCCUAGGCCGACUUGCUCAGACGGAGCAGAAGAGGUUUUUUCCUUUGGAACGAGUGCUUUUGCUUGUGGGGGCAGAGAGAUUUUUGGAGGUCUUGGCCAUGGAAGAGAGGAGGGUUUUGAACUGGUUGUGAGAGGGUUUGGUAGAGAGGAUGAAGAUGAAGGGAGAUGAAAAGGACUAUCUAAAGAGGUGGGAUCUGAUGGUUGAGUAGAAAAAGAAAAGUUGUUAGUUGGACCGGCGCAUCGAUUGGUUUUCAUUUUGUGACUGAAACUGAUGGGAAAAUAGACAGAAAGGGACGGAAAAGAUGGGGGUGAUAAUUAAUAAAACUAAAAAAAAAACAAUUAUGACAAAAAUGUAAAAAAAUGAUACUUUGACCCUAACGGUUUUUAGUAAAGCAAAUAAUUCCAAGAAGUUUUCUUAGAGAGCAAAAUCUUUCUUCCAACAAAGGUUUAGUAAGAAUAUCGGCUAAUUGAGUAGUAGUAACAACAAAAGAUUAUUCUAUAUCACCUUUGAGAACAUGAUCUCUAAUGAAAUGAUAUUUAAUAUCUAUAUACUUAGCUCUAGAGUGAUGCACAAGAUUUUUUGAAAGAUAAAUAACACUAGAGUUAUCACAACUUUUUUAUAGGUUUAAAAGAGAGAUCAUAGUCACCCAGUUGGUGGGAAAUCCGUAGCAAUUGUGCACAACAUUGUCCAGCAGCAAUAUAUUCCGCUUCAAUAGUCGACAAAGCAACUUAUGCUUGUUUUUUUAAUGUUCCAGGAUAUUAAAGCUUUUCCUAGUAGUUGACAUGUGCCACUUGUGCUUUUCCUGUCUUCUUUAUCGCCUCUAAAUCUGCAUCUGAAAAAUCUUCUAAUUUAAAGGAGUUAGAUUGAUGAUACCAUAAACCAUGAGAUACUGUGCCAAUAAGAUAUCGAAUAAUUCUUUUGAUAGCGGUUAGAUGUGACUCCUUAGGAGCCGACUGGAACCUGGCACAUUUACACAUGCUGAACAUAAUAUAUGGUCGACUUGCAGUAAGAUAUCGUAGCGAUCCAAUCAUCCUUCGGUAUAUGGUUUCAUCAACUGGAGUACCCUAUUCAUCCUUAUCCAAGUUUGUAGUAGGGCUCAUUGGAGUUCCAAUGGAUUUUGCAUUGCUCAUACCGAAUUUUUGAAUAAGCUCCUUAGUGUAUUUAAAUUGACAAAUAAAGGUUCCUUCUUCAGAUUGAUGAAUUUGGAGUCCAAGGAAGAAAGUGAGUUCACCCAUCAUACUCAUUUCAAAUUCACUUUGCAUGAGAUUUCCAAAUUCUUUCGCAAAAGAGGAUUAGAACUUCCAAAGAUAAUACCAUCAACAUAAAUUUGAAUUAUAAGAUUACCUUCUGAAGAUUGAUUAAUAAACAGGAUGGUAUCAAUUUUACCUCUGGUGAACCCAUGAUUAAUAAGAAAUGUACUUAACCUGUCAUACCAGGACGUGGAGCCUGUUUUAACCCAUACAAGGCUUUAGUAAGUUUGUACACAUGAUAAGGAAAUUUUGAAUUCUCAAACCCUGGAGGUUGUUUCACAAACACUUCUUCCUCGAUGAAUCCAUUUAGAAAGGCACUUUUGACGUCCAUCUGGAAUAGUUUGAACCCUUUGAAUGAAGCAUAAGCUAACAUGAUUCGUAUAGAUUCUAAUCGGGCUACUGGAGCAAAGGUUUUUUCGUAGUCGAAUCAUUCCUGCCGUGAGUAACCUUGAGGGACUAGUCUGGCUUUGUUUCUUACGACCUGUCCUUCCUCAUUUAACUUGUUUCUGAAUACCCUUUUAGUUCCGAUAACUGAAGCAUUUUCAAGUCGAGGUAUCAGCUCUCAUACUUGAUUUUGUUGAAUUGAUCUAGCUCCUCUUGCAUAGCAUUUACCCAGCUUGAGUCCUUUAGAGCUUCCUCUACCUUCUUUGGCUCUAUUUGGGAGAUCAACGCAAUAUUCGCCUUCUUUUUGAGAGCUGCUCUGGUCUUCAUCCCUUCAUUUGGAUCUCCAAUGAUGAAUUUUUGUGGAUAUUCAGUUUCAUUUCUCCACUCAUUCAACAUAACUGUGUUUGUAGUUGACUCUACACGUUGUUCAGGAGUGUUGUCACUUGCUUGUUGAGUUGACUCUAUUAUUCCUCUAGAGGUAGUUGACUCCUGCAAUUUUCCCGUGCCCCGAGCCUCUUGAGCUGGAUCUUCAUCACCUGCAUUAAAUCCUUUCUCGACCAAGGGAUUAUUUUCAUCGAACUUAACAUGAACCGAUUCUUCUACACAUAAAGUACGUUUAUUAUAAACUCUAAAAGAUCUUCUAUUUAAUGAGUAACCGAGAAAAAUACCUUCAUCGCUUCUUGGAUCAAAUUUUCCAAGAUUAUCCUUACCAUUGUUAUGAAUGAAGCAUUUACUUCCAAAUGGAUGAAAGUAGCUGAUGUUCGGACGUUUACCUUCCAGAGUUCAUACGAAGUCUUUUUCAGAAUGGGUCUUAUAAGGCAGCGAUUGAGAAUAUGGAUUGCAGUGUUAACUCUUUACCUUGUACCACUUCCUUUCGUCUUGCAACUGUAACGCAGUACCACGUAUGCGCCACAAGUCGUGAUUCUGAAACGAUGCAGCUAAGUGUACUGCAUUGUUAUCUUGUUUGUCCACAUGAUAAAACACGCAUUCUGGAUACUUUUGUCCUAUUAACCAGUUAUAGACGGCUGUUUGCCUAUGCUCUACAUAGGGGUGUUCAAAACCGAUCCAAAUUGAAGCUUAACGGCUUACUGGUAACGGCUUAAUGGCUUAACGAACGGGGAACCGAUUGAAUUUUUUUUAUUAACGGCUUAUCGGUUUGGGGUGGAUUAUUCAAUUUUCUUAACGGAUAAUCCGUUAGCCCGUUAAGAAUACAUAUAUAUAUAUAUAUAAAAUUUAUUUAUAUUUACAUAUAUUAAAUAUAAAAAAACUAAAACUCUUGAAAAUGAAUAACAAAAAUAAAAGGCCGUAUGUUCUGAUAUUCAAAUGAAAAUAUUCUGAUGCGUUUAUGUCCAUUGUCACAUUUUGCUGUAUAUAGUCAGAACUCAGAAGAGAAAAUCUUCAAAUUUUAACACAAGACAUGAAGGCAUGAGAGCAAGAAAGCAGAAUCUUUUGUAUAUUCCUUCAUAUGUGCAUGUAAUAUAUGGUGACCGACAAAGCAAAGCUUCAUUACAUGAUUUACAUUUCCGGCAUAUUAAGUAUAAACUGAUGAAUUUUGGAUUCCAUCCCACCUAUUGUAAAACUUAAUUUUCUAUUUCAUAUGCUUUAAGAUAAUGAAUUGCUGGAAGUCAUUCUAUUAAAUGUUUUUCUUGCAUUUGUUGUAUAGUUCAUGUUUGAUAAAGUUGUACAGGAGAGUGGGGCAGAUGAUGAAACAUCGGAAUGUUCUCAGUUUCAACCUUUUACAAGUAAGUUUCUUUGAAGUGAACCAAAAUAUGAAACUGCUAACUUCAGUACGUGUAAGGUAGUACCAAAAGAUGAGAACUGCUGGAUAAUUUUCAGUGAUGUGAAUAUGUAUGCUAUGCCGAUUUACCGUCCGAUAAGAGCUAAGACGAUACCAGUUCGCCCGAUAUCUUAUCGGGUGGCUAACAGAUUAAUACAUUUAAAAGCCGAUAACCGUUAAGCCAAACCGUUAAGAAUAAAUAACCGCCCGAUAAGCAGCCCUAGUGUAAGGGUACUUGAUUCAAGAAGGAAAGGUAAUGUCAGUCCUUGCAACUGUAACGCAGUACCACGUAUGCGCCACAAGUCGUGAUUCUGAAACGAUGCAGCUAAGUGUACUGCAUUGUUUUCUUGUUUGUCCACAUGAUAAAACACGCAUUCUGGAUACUUUUGUCCUAUUAACCAGUUAUAGACGGCUGUUUGCCUAUGCUCUACAUAGGGGUGUUCAAAACCGAUCCAAAUUGAAGCUUAACGGCUUACUGGUAACGGCUUAAUGGCUUAACGAACGGGGAACCGAUUGAAUUUUUUUUAUUAACGGCUUAUCGGUUUGGGGUGGAUUAUUCAAUUUUCUUAACGGAUAAUCCGUUAACCCGUUAGGAAUANNNNNNNNNNNNNNNNNNNNNNNNNNNNNNNNNNNNNNNNNNNNNNNNNNNNNNNNNNNNNNNNNNNNNNNNNNNNNNNNNNNNNNNNNNNNNNNNNNNNNNNNNNNNNNNNNNNNNNNNNNNNNNNNNNNNNNNNNNNNNNNNNNNNNNNNNNNNNNNNNNNNNNNNNNNNNNNNNNNNNNNNNNNUUUUUUAUGGCAAUUCAUUAUUUCUAAGACGAGGAGAAUAAGAGAUAUUUAGUGAACAUGUAUGUUAGGCCGAUAAACCGCCCAUUAACCCCCCUAUAAGAGCUAACCCGAUACCAACCCGCCCGAUAUCUUAUUGGGUGGCUAAAAGAUUAAUACAUUUAAAAGUCGAUAACUGUUAAGCCAAACCGUUAAGAGUAAAAAGCCGCCCAAUCAGCCUGAUAAGCACCCCUCUUUCAGCCCAAAAGUGAUUUGGCAGUGAGUGUUCCAAAAUCAUAGUUCUGGCCAUGUCUUGCAAUGUUCUAUUCUCUCUUUCAACCACUCCAUUUUGUUGAGGAGACCGGGAGCAGGAAAAUUAUGGGUAUAACCUUGAUUAUUACAGAAGUCUUCGAAUGCGUCGCUUUCAAACUCGCCUCCAUGAUCACUCUAAAUAAUGGAGAUUUGAUAGCCUUUUUCUCGCUCAAUCUUCUUGCAAAAAAUCUCAAAGUUUCUCAAGGCUUCAUCUUUGUGAGAUAGAAAAAUCACCCAAGUGAAACGUGAAAAAUCAUCAACAAUAACAAAUGCAUAUUUCUUGCCACCUAUGCUAGCAGUACUAGUUAGGCCAAAUAAAUCCAUAUGCAGAAGUUGCAAGGGUUUUGAUGUGGAGACUAUGUCUUUGUUUUUAAGGAGUUUUUUGUUUGCUUACCCAUCUGACAUGCAUCACAUAUAUGAGUUCAAGAGAAGUUCAUUUUGGGUAAUCCAAUGACUAAAUCAUGUUUGGAUAGUUUCUUAAUUAAGUUCAUGCUAGCAUGUCCUAAUCUUCUGUGCCAUAACCAAGGAUCAUCAAAGAUAGAUGUUAUGCAAAUAUUACCAUCUAUAUUUUAAAAACCAUCAAGUAUAUAAACGUUUCCAUACCUUUUUCAUGGAAGAAUUAUAUUACCUGACUCGUCUUCGAUGGCACAUCCAGUUCUCUUAAAUUUUACCUUGUAUCCUGAGUUGCAGAGUUGACUUAUGCUGAGGAGUUUGUUUAGUCCAUCGACUAGAUAUACUUCAGUAAUAUCACACCUAUUGUUGAAUGGAACAGUUCCAGCGCCCACUAUUUUGCCUCUUGAGUCGUCUCCAAAUUUGACACUUCCUUCAUCGAUUUCUAUGACUUCUUUAACAUGUUUUUGUCACCUGUCAUGUGACUGGAACACACACUGUAUAAAUAAAAAUUUCCUUUACAUUUCGCUUUGUGGUUUUCCUGCAAGGCAAAGUUAUUACUUUCUUUUAGGUACCCAAGUUUUCUUUGGUCCUGAUGAGUUAGUGUUGCUGGAUUCAGAAUUUUUUGGUUUCCAAAUCCAUCCGGACAUAUGAGAUUUAUGAAAGUGGCAACCGAAAUAUUUAUGCCCAUUUUUAUUGCAGUAGUGACAUUUAACACUAUACCCUUUUGUUGGUCUCUCAGGAGAGUUGGAGUUACCAGUCCUAGGAUUGGCCGACUGCUUUCCAGUUGACUUGUAAGUCGAUUGGUUUGGCCGACUAGUCGAUCUAGUUCUGACUAGUUCUUUUCCAAUUGACUUGUAGUCGACUGAUUAGACCUGACAGAACUAUGACUAGUGGAUUUGCGCAGGCUGUUAAACUGCAUUUUUAAUUCCUCAAACUCUUCUUGAAGUACUUCUUUUUAAAUUUCACAUACUUACAGUUUGAGUUUCCAGUCUUUGAUUUCCCUGGUGAGCUUUUUAAGCUCGUUCAUCAUCUUUUGAGAUUCUUUGAGGGUGGAGUCAAGAAUAUCUUGCAAUUUGUUGCAUCUUUCGCAGUUUUAAGAUCUUACCUCGCUAGUUUCUUCCUUUUCCAUGAAGCAAUUUUCAUCGUCUGAAUCGUCUUCAUCAGUCCAACAUUGUUGCAAUUCAUUGCAUCUUUCACAGUUAUAUGAUCUUACCUUGCUAGUUUCUCCCUUUUCCAUGGAGCAAUUUUCAUCGUCUGAAUCGUCUUCAUCAGUCCAGCAUCCUGAAGUUUUGUUGAUCUCAUUUUCUAGAAUCAUCAUGAAGCAUAGAUUUGCUAUUUCUUCAUGAUCUGGAACAUCCUCAUCACUCCAGCUUCCAAAUGAUCUAUUCUUGUUGAAUCCUCUAGAUAUCUUUUUCUUUAGUUCUGGGCAUUCUUCUUGGACGUGUCCGAACUUUCCACAUUUAUAGAAUUUUCCUUCAUUCUUGUUCUGGUCAUUGUAUUGUCUAGGUCUUCUUGAUAGAAAUCUUCCUUUCUUUGUAUUUGUGUACCUCCUCAUUAGUCUGUCCAUGUUUCUAGACAUCAUAGCUAUUUUUCUUGCAGUACUUCGAUAUCAUCAGUUUCAUCUUCAGUUGCCUCAGUAGUAGCUUUGAAUGCAACUGUUUUCUUUUUCUCUUCUUGAUUCAUUUUCUUCAAAUGUGUUCUUUCAAAAGCAAUAAGUUCUCCUCGUAGUUCAUCAUAAGAUAUUUUAUUCAGAUCUUGAGAUUUCCGGCGUGACUACUUUAGUCUACCAAGGGGUUGGUGCACUUCUGAGAAUUUUCCUGACUUGAUCUCCACUGGUGUAUGGUUUUCCAAAAGCUUUUAAAUCACUGAUUAUUUUUCAAAACCCGGCAAACAUUUCUUCGAUGGAUUCUCCUUCUUUCAUGGAGAAAAGCUCAUAGUCAUGUACGAGCAUAUUUAUUUGAGUUUUUUUUUACUUUGCUUGUACCUUCAUAGGUGAGUUCGAGUUUGUCCCACAUUUCCUUUGCAGUAUCACAACUUGAGAUCUUUUCAUAUUCUUCACCACUUAUAGCAUUGUGAAGUAGCUUCCUUGCCUCGUGGUUUAUUUGAACAGCUUCCAAUUGCUCCUUUGAAUAUGAAUCAAUGUCGUCAGGGUCAUCGGGUAGAGGAGUGCUGGCACGCAAUGGAUAAUUCCUUUUCUUGAUAACUCUCAAUACUUUGACGCCUUAUGCUUUAGUGAAUAUUUCCAUGAGAAUUUUCCAGUGAGAGAAGUGUUGUCCAUUGAAGUAGGGUGGUCUUACUUGGGAGGUUCCCUCUUGAAACAAAGCUCCAACAGUAACUUGAUUUGCCAUGAUCUUUUUCUCACAAGCUUUAAGCACAAAGUAAUAGAUGUGAGCCUUGCUCUGAUACCAAUUGAAAGUACAAGGGGGGGGGGGGGGAAUUGUGAAUAAUUUAAACUUAAUCGUAAAUAAGUUGGCUUAAAACUUUAUUAGUCGACUGAAUGUAAAGAUACUACAUGUGAAGAUAUUCGAAUAUAAUGAUCUAGAAAGUAAAUACAGAAGUAUAAAGACUCCCAGAAUUUAAUACUGGUGCGGAUUCAAUGUAAAUCCUAAUCCAGUCCCCUAGGGUUGCAAGGGAUUUCUCUUCAAAUUAAUGAUUUUCCUUUGAGUACAGAUGUGAUAUUUGUCGCACAAUCUACUGUCACUCGUUUGAUACAAUGCUUCAUCAAAUGUGAACCCUCUUUCUAUCUCUGACUUGUUACACAGCUAAUCUUUCUAGACUACUAUGCUUGUUUGUAAUAAAUUUAAGAUAGCUAUUUGGUUUGAUCUCACCAAUUGUGAACCCUCUUUCUAUCUGUGACUUGUUACAAAGUUAAUCUUUCUAGACUACUUUGCUUGUUUGCAGUAAAUUGAAGAGAGCUAUUUGGUUUUAUCAAAGUAUAUCUUAGCUAGGGUUUACAAGGAUGUUUAAAUACUUUGAUGGAUGGUGGAAGCUUGACAACCCAAGAGAUUUGAUCCUUGGAAAGAAUUGAUUCUUUCCAAGAAUAAGGAGUGAGACAUUGCUUUUCUUGAUUUCUCCUUGAUUGAUGAUGUUUCUAAGUUUGGCCGCGUACAAGAUUUUCUCCUUGAGCUAGAGAUAUGAUAGAACUCUGAUUGCCUUUGAUUGCGGAUCCUCCAGUUUUGUCUUCUUUCUACAUCUUCCCGUUUUCAUUAGAGAUUUUACUGAACUUUUAUUGUGUCUGGGUAGAUAUGAUUUCCCACAAUUUACGAAAGACUUCCUGAUUUGCUGAUAAGAAGCUGAUCCUUUCCUUGAGCGUCAACAACUACCUUAAAGGAAGAUUUCCUUCCUUUUCGCUACAACAAUUUUUCUUUCUUGUUCGAACAUAAUGGCAACCUCUCUUUUAGCUCUUUCCUUGUUUGCUAUAUCAGUUCCAGUAGUUCCGCUUCCCUUUUUUUUUGAAUGCCUCCACAUGUAUAUUAAUUGCAUCAUUAAAAUCUGAUCUAACAGCAAGGUAUCAACGACAAGAGGUACAAUCCCCUGAAAUGGUAAUUCUCAAAUGAAGCAAUAAUUACCUGAAAGGAAGAUGAAAAAAGAAAUAAAGGGAAACUCUCCAAAGUUCGAAAGAUGAAUCUCAUUGAACCAUUCCUCUAUUUAUAGGAAGAAGGUACGCAGAAAUCGAAAAGGCACAAUUCGAAAACUGAUGCGGAAAACCAAAACGUCACGUCGUGCUCUGAACAAUCUUGGAAACAAGUAUAAUGAUGACGCACAUGACAUAUGAUGCCAUUCUAGAAAAGGGGUCGUAUGUCAAUGGCUCAACAAUAUUACACACGCUCGUGUCCUUUGAAAAAGGCGUCCGUAACAGCAAAAUAUGCAUGUCCGUCCAUUUAAGACGGUCACCGAGCACGUCUCCAAUGAACGGAGGGAGUAACUGUAUGGGGUAAAAUGUGGCUCUUAACGCUCCCACACCGAGUGGGUACGCCCAUUGUGAUAAGGUCGACCCAAGUAAGGGCACGACCCAGUUGGUAAAGUAGAAGCGACAUCGUCUAGUAUCUAACUUCUUUACUGAAUGGAAGCCACCAACUUUUGUACUUUUUUAUUAUUUCAAGGUGGGUCUCCUACUAUAUAAAGGAGACUUUCACGUUGUAAUAUGUAUCAUUAUUAUUCUCGGAUAAUACAACUUCUUUCUCUAUCUCCAUCUCUAUCUCUUUCUUGAUUUUUCAACUGUUGCUUCUCUCUUAAGGUAAAUUCAUUUUCUUCACACUUUCAGAUCUACAACAAUCUUAACAUAAUUAUCAUAUCUAUGGCUCAUAAUAUUUGACUACCAUUUGCCCUUAUAUUUUUUUGAUUGUUUUUAAGUUUAUAAAGUACGAAUAUAAUUUUUGAGCUAUUAACUAAAUUAGAACCCAUCUCAUCAUUUAUUUAAAAUAUAAUUAUCUUGAUCUUAUUAGUUUUAUUCUUAGAAGAAUGAGAAAGGGUCCAUAUGUGCUCUUGAAUUAUACCAUUAUAUACUCCUUUCGGUCAAAAAAGAGUGUCCACUUGCCUUUUUUGGGGUUAAACUAAGUGUCCACUUAUCAAAUCAAGAAAGACUUAAAUAAUAUUUUUUUUAAAUUGUGCUUAUUUGUAUAUCCUUAAAAGUCUUUUAAAUUACUCUAAUUUUGUAUGUUAGGUUAUCAUUUUGAGAAGUUUGUUCCUUCAUUACUGCUUCGGUGAGUGCGGUAAGUUGGAGCACUUUUUACUACGCCUUUUGUCGAGUCAAAAAGAAAUAAUGGACUAUUCUUUUAAUCAAAGCAAUAUAUUCAUACUAGUUAAUGUUAAGUGUUACUUUUUUGUCACAUAUUAUGUGUCGUGUUUCUCUUUUACACAUGUGUUUAUCAUGAAAUUGGUAAUAAUAAUCAAAUUUAUAAAUGAGACUUUAAAAAUAUGUGAUUUAUUUCCGAGCUAGUUGUUAAAACAGUUAAUGCUAAGAACGCGAAGUGUAAAUAUAAAAUGCAAGUUAAGGCGAGACAGUAAUCAAAUCAAAGGGGCCUGUUGCCCUAACUCGGAGAUGGUCGAUGGGACCUCGAGGUCGGUACCUGGCUCGGGAUCGAGCUACCAGUUGUGGUCGGGGAUGGGAUAAUAGAUAAAGAUAUGACUAAGCAAUGCUCUAUAUUGCCAAUAUUGGACGAUAUGGUGAAGAACGAGUAGGAAAACGGUAAAUGCUAGGGCGGCCUCGGGCCAGUGAGAAUAAACAACUUAGAAGAAAAGAGAGAGAGAGAGAGAGAGAGAGAGAGAGAGAGAGAGAGAGAGAGAGAGANNNNNNNNNNNNNNNNNNNNNNNNNNNNNNNNNNNNNNNNNNNNNNNNNNNNNNNNNNNNNNNNNNNNNNNNNNNNNNNNNNNNNNNNNNNCCUAGUGAGAGAGAGAGAGAGAGAUUAUUGCACUUAUGGAGAAAUGGAGCAACAUCACCCAUUUACAAGGUGGGGGGAGUUUCCUUUAUAUAGGAGGGGGACUCGGCUAUAAGUACAUGGGGAUUAAUUACAAAGUAUGGUGAUGAGAUGGCUUGACACUUCAGCAUAGACUCCGGAUAGGCUGGGCCUGUCAGUCAUAGCCAUGUGCCUAGAAGGCUUCCCAUUCUGUCCUGCCUUCGUUCUUCAUCUCGCUUCGUUCUUCAUCAUCACUAAAUCGGGCUUCGACGAUUCCCGAGUUCGAGAACUCCGACGCGACCCCCUGCCCUCGGGAUCCUGGGACAUGCUUCCGAAAUGUCUCAACAACGAGAAAUCAAGUUUUUUGAUUUUGCCGCAUACAGAUAGUCUCCGUGUUUCCCAUAAUGAGUGAUGGGAAAUGAUUCUGAUACUUGACUCCUCGAGCUUCUUUCGGUGACGCCAUAUCGAUGAUACAACCCCUGGCUCAUGCCUUUCGACACCAUUUAUUGCACUCCCUGAUUUUUUCUUCCCAAGAUACAGGUACCGCCGCUAGUUCAGUUUUUCGUAGAUGCAUUAACUGCGCACGUUGGUCAGUCUUCCAAAGAAUAGAUGACUAUGUCGUAAUCAACUAUAAAUAGGGGAUGCCUUAGCCUUGUUUCUCCUGUCACAGUGCUUCUACUGGCUUGCUCGCUUUUCCCUUCCUCAUAUUUUCUCUUACCUCAGAACAUCAUGUUACGAGCUCAGGACUUUAAGGCCGUAUGAAGAAAUUUCCUUAGACUGCAUUGUCGCUUUCUGCCAGAGUCUCUCUUCUCAAACAUAAGCGUGUUGUACCACUACUACUGUGGUUGCUCGUAUGCUGGCCCUCGUUGUUGUUGUUGGCCCGAGGUGAUGGGGGACCGGGAUCCAUUUUCCUUUUUAUCUAGAUAGUUGUUCGAAUUACGCACCGCUGCUCACUCUCCUACCUAGACCUGGUGUGGCACUUCAUCCCUUGGGUUUUUAUCCCAAGGGAUGAAGUGGCACCACAAGCUGUUGAGGCUGGGGCCCGCCGAACCUUCAACCUUUAGCUUCGACGGGUUAUGUCUCUUUUCUCUACCUCAUCCGCGUCCCCUCCUUUUCAUCUUCUUUAUCUUCUCCGGCAGGGAUCACUCGGGGGAUUGAGCUAGGAACCUAUGGGAGGUGGAGAUCUAAGGAGUUACCCUCGAGGAUACAUGCUCGAGGAUGCGGUGCCCGGGGAUGCUGAUACCGGAGAUGAAUCCCUGAGGGCGGACCGGGCAUAUGGGUUUCAUCACAUAUACAUCCUUUUGUUCCUCCGCUUUAGGUGUGGACUCCAUUAGGCUUUUGUAAUUGCAUGUAAUGACCCUUUAGUACUGCUUGUACGCAAAUUUAUAUGAAUAAGAAUAUAAUUUGUUGAUUAUGCCUUCCUUACUUUACUUUUCUUCUGUAUGCUCCCUUGCCCUUUCGAGUCCCUUCGAAUGUCUUUUUUAUUUGUUAGCCUCCAAAAUCUAACUUGAGUGCGGGCGCUCAUUCUGAUCUUGUGUUGAUCGACAUGACUUUCCUUGACCCAUCGUCGUACUUCAGAACAAUCUUGGAUUGAAUCUGAUAGCUCCAGGCUACCGAGGCCCUUCGAGAUGUUUGGAGAUCAUGCAUCGCAUUCCAGGGCCUUCGGGGUUAUCACCCCGGAUGAAGGUCAUUUUCGGGUACCGGGGGUCCCUAUUGACCUUGAUGUAGAUAACCCUUUUAAGAUGAGUAUGGUUGACUUCCACUAGGGAGUUUACUCGUAUUUGGGCGCUUCCUUGGACCUUGGUGGAGCUUUCGCGAUCAAAGCUUCCCGCUUUUACUCCUAUUUUCAGGAAGAGGGGAUAAAGAGACUAGGUGCUUGCCUUACGCCGGGUGUCGGCAUUUAGAGAUUAUCGAGGUCCAACUUCUUUGUACCAGGGUUUUUUGACAUAGAGUGCUGCCCCGAGCAUGGAGAUAGUACGAACGACCCCUUGAGUCGUGACUCCUCAUUGAGGCUAUUGGCUUUCCGGGGUAGCCUCGGGCAGGUGAAUCAUUGCUUCUUCUUACAUAUAUGUGGCGCGUCUUCCGCUCCCUAGCAAGACUUCACUACUCUUACAUUGCUAUCUUUCUGCUUUGUUGCAGGGGUACUUCAUCUCUUUAGGCACAAAAGGCAUUGACGUGCGCCCUUGCCCUAACCAGUUAGAUUCGCAUAGUCAUGGGAACCACUUCGGGGCCGAUCGGUAGGUGACGGGGGCGCUUCUCCUGUGCUCAGGAAUCGAGGGACUUCAUUCUGGAGGCGACAUCUAUGAUAAAAGAGGAACAUCUAGAGAUGGCGAGGAAGUACUACGGUUGGAGCAAGGGGUAACAUUGCAGGUGCUUGCCCCAAGUGAGGGCAUCGCGGACUCCACUGACGGAUUCUUAAACAUAUACCUAUACCCUUUCACAUUUGCCCCCUGAUAGGGUUGUGCUUGAUUUUUUCUUGAGGUACCGGGUCACCUAGCACAUAUUCAUCCGGCAUUUUGGCGAACGGCGCUGACAGUGAGGUUUUUCGUGGAGAAAGCCGGGCUUGAAUUCACGCUUGACCACCUUGUCAGGCUAUAUCGGCCCUUUCAUCACCACGACCUACUAACUUUGAGGUGUCGUUCGUUCACACCCUUCGUUGAUGAAGAGGACGGCAGGGAUCAUGAGUGAUCUUGUUGGUUUAUUCGGGUCCAGAUGGCCGAUAUUAUCCUUGUGGAAUUUUUGCCACUUCCUGAAGAGUGGAAAUAUGCACGUGAGUGAGGCGUUUUGGCGCUUUUUCAGAUUUUGCAUAUAGAGAAAAUCUGCUGAAUAAUAACAUUGUUUCCCUUACUGCAGCAACUUCAUGGAUGCCGCGUGAGGUUCAUGACCUGCCCUGUUGGGUCCGGAGGCUGGUGACCUAUUCAUACUUCAAUGAGCGUAGAUGGCGAGCUGUACUCCAUACCGGACGGGGAGCGCGGUACCAAGGUAUGUGCGUAUGAUGCCUUUGUGUACCCAAGGUAACCCUUUCCCCUUCCAUUUUUUCCAUUUACAGAUAUCCGGCGAUUUCUUUGGACGGAGCAAUGUUCUUCCGAAGAGGGGAAUGAGACAUUGGUUUCUGGGCUGAGUGGUGAUGGCGAUAAAAGAGAUAUGCACAUGUGGUGAGAUGGAGCCUUAAGUGGCGCUGGUCGGGCUCACUUUUUCGAGGAAAGGGCGUCUGCCGAGUGUGCUGCUCCCAGAGUGCCUGAUUCCCAGUCGACGGUUCCUUUGAGUGAAUAUGUUGUGCCUCAGAUCGGUUCUUCCGUGGCCUCAGGGGCAGGACCAACAUGAGUGUGUUCUGACUUCGAGGAAGUCCGUCGGCUUCACUUUGUUGUGAGUUUUAUGUAUAGUUUCCAUGUGUCCUCAUUCCUCUAUUGUAUCUUCCUCGUGUAGGCCUGUGAUGCUUAGGUCUGAGAUGCUCCGUCAAGCGGCCAAGCUUCAAAAAAUUCUAGGUGAGUGCAAAUCUCUAGGGCUCUUUAGCGAGGAGAAGGAAGCUGAGCUAUAGCGUUGGCGAUAUGAGGCAUACCAAGGCUCAAACUAUGAGAGCUAUUCUAUGGAGAAGGUAACUUCUUGUAGUGCGUGCUUCACCCCCUUUUAAUUUUAAGGAUAAUUCCCUUUUGCUGUAUCAGUUGCAGAAAAAGUCAGAGGCCCUGGAGUACCUCAAGGGAGACGUCAAUCACGUCAGAGUUUCUUGCGAGGAGCUAAGGCCUCGGGUGCAGGCUCGAGCUCUAGAGAAGACGAGCACCUCGGCUAAGGUCCCUGCCUUGGAGGCUCAACUCAUCUUGACUCAUGACAACGCCAAUGUUCAAGCGGACAUGAUUGGGAAACUUGAAUCCGAUCUCUCGAAGGUCAGAGCCGAGAUAAUUGAUGCCUGGGCAGAAGCGGCAUUGAGCCGAACCAGGGCUAAUCGUGAGAUGACUAUUUGUAUGAAAGAUGAUGUUGAUGCCCAAGCUGAACUGAAGCGAGCCCUCGACCGGGAAAAGAGUGUAGACAUGUAAUUUUUGACCCUUCCCAAAAUUUCACCCAUUUUUAGCGUAAAAUAUUUAAUUUAGUGCUUAAUAUAGUUGUUUCAACUAAUUUUGGCUCUUUUACAUUAUUUUUAUUAUAAAAUUGAAAAAUACAAAAAAUAGUUUCAUUUUUUUCUAUGUAAUUCUGUAUUAGGUAUUUUUAGAAAGAUAUAUUACUUUUAACCUAUUUUAAUCCUAAUAUAAUCCUCGAAAAUACCAAAAAUAGUCCCAACUUUAAUUUUUAGUUUUAUUUUAAUAUUAAUAACAUAUAAAAUUAAUGUAGAGUUUUUAUAGGUAUUUAAUUUGAAUUUCAGUCAUUUUUGGCCCAAUUUUUGCACAUUUUUAAGGCCUAAAUAUGAACCCAACAAGACAUAGGCCCACAACCCCACGAGAUGUCUUCUUCUUCCUACCAAAAUGAAGACCUAGCAAGGAGGAGCAUUAGCCAUAAUCCAUCUUCUUCAACAAUAGAGAACAAGACCAAAGGACAUGAGUAGACCGUCUUCUUCAUGAAUAAGAAACAAGAAACAAAAACCCUAAGCAUCCAUCCCUUCAUAUUAUCCACACACACAUCCCAUUUCCGCCGCCAGCCCAUCCCUCACCACCCCUCACUAGCUCUAUCCACUUCUGCAUCUUCACCGUCCCUUCACCACGCUCGAAACCAAUCAGACCCAACUCGUCUACCCACCUAGCCCUGUCUUCCAGCCGUUAACUAGCCUUCAAAGGACUAGUCGCCUCCUCCACGCCCAAACUCACCGGAGAUUCAACCCCACUGCUCCUCCUCGCUUCUUUUAUUCAUAACAUCCAUUCUCCAUAAACCAUAGCUGCUACUUCUUCCUUCCACGCACCAUCGCCAAUUUGUCUCCAUAACCACGAGCAACAAUAUAUUUGAAACUAAAAAAGUAUAAAAAAGAAAGAACAAACAUAAAACAGAGGCAAAGAACGGGCAAAGUCGUUGAGGAAAUUUCGGACAAACUUGGUUUAAAGAUUGGGUUUCAAAGAAAGGAUUCAACAACUCAUUUUCACGGUUUUCAUUUUUGUUUAAAUUUCAAAAAUUGGAUUUCAUUUUUACAGAUUAGACCUUUCUUUCCUUCUUUUUCAUUUGGGUUGUGAGUUCUGGUUUUCAAAUAUGGAAAUGGAGUCAAGCCGAUUCUGAUUCGAGUUCGUCGCUGAUUGGAGGUUCUAGUCGUGAGGCACGUUUUCCAGUUCGCGAUCUUUAAAUUAUUUUGCUGUUGUACUUUGUGUUUGGAUUCAGUAGAUUCAAGGUAUCGUGCUUGCCCCCUCCCGAUUAAUCAAAAGUUUCGCGCGUUAAGGUUUAUUCCUUCAAUCCUUUACUCAUUUUAACUCAACUAUUUUCUUGGUGAUCCGAUUUUGUGAUUUGUUAUCCAUGGCUUUGAAUGUGCCCUCCCGUAUGACUACUUGAAUUGAUUGCGAGUGAAUUGGAAUCGCACGUCUAGCUAUUUGAAUCAUUUGCUUAAUUUGAAUUGGAAACAGGACUAUCAGUUGUUAGGUUUAAAAAGAGCAAUUUGGGGAGAUGCAAUUUACAAUAAAAAGAUAAAAACCUAGUUGUUAGUAUUCUAAAUUUUUCACUUGGGUAGAUCUUACUUACUAAUUUAUCGGUAAGAACAUGCUUAGGCCGCCAAUAUUUGGGUAGUAAUCUUAGGAUUUUUCUAUUUUAUUUUUAUUUCGAGGUGAGAGGUUGUCUCUUAGUUAAAUAUAUCCGGGGAAUGCCCCGUGAAGUUUGUAAAUAUUAUCAUCCGGGGUAUGGCCCGAAGAACUAUGUAAAUAUUUUGGAGGCCUUGACGAGUGAUGGAGAAGACGUAGUGUAGGUUAGCUUCAGAUGUUUCCUUUCUUUUCCUUUUCAUUUUCUUUUACUAGUUGGGGACGACCUCGAGCUUUGUAUGUGUUUAUUUUUCUUUUAAUGUGUUUUCUACCUCAAUUAAAUAUUCUAAAAGCCAACUUGAUCGAGUACGCAACCGUGACUUUCACGGGACUUGGGGAGUGCCUAACACCUUCUCCCCGAGCCAAAUGAACCCCCUUACUUGAAUCUAUAGUGUGGACUUGGUUUUAGAGUCUUAAACGUUUCAAAAGGAAAAAAUCAUUUUAAAAAAUAGUGACCUGGCACACCGAAAUUAAUGUCAGGUGGCGACUCUGAGUUAAUCCUUUUGAAACGAAUUUUUGUCACUUUCAAUAUUGGAAAACCCUUUUCAAGCUUUAUGAAAUCACUUUUAUUACUUUAAGAGGGUUUAGUGAGGUUUGUUAAAAAAGGUUAUGACAAAGAGGAUCGAGGAAUAUGUUCGUUGUAGGUCCCGGAGAAAGGUACUUGAGGAGGUCGGUGCAAGGGUCUUCGUUCUCUCAGAGUAACUGGCUCGAGCAAGGGCGGACGAGCCUGCCGCUCGGUUACUUCUUGUCUACGUUGCGGAGGGCAAGUUUGACAAGCUGUAUCCCUUUGCUGCAGAGUGUAGAUCUUGUCGUUCUAUCGCUGAUAUAUGUAGGACAUGCCUGUAUAUGGAGAAUGCACACUCCUUGAGCAUGUAAUAUAUAAGAAAGAAUCUGAAGCUUUAUUCCUUUUCUCUCUUCUUUUCAUUUUUGGUUGUUGCUUCCAACCGCUUAGGCCGAUUUUUGUGUUUAACGAGGGCCUCUUAGAUACAAAACGGCUUUGACAUACUUGGGGGUCCUUCCAUGAGAUCUUUGGCGUAAGCAAGUGCUGGGGCCUCUGUGCCUGUCUUGGCCGUUUACGCUUAGCCCCUGAGUUGCAUUAAUGCUCGCGUUUCAAUUGACCCUCAGGCUCUUUCCUGCCUUCGGGUGCGAAUGAUGGUGGCUUUUGUGCUUUAUGGGUCGAAGUGACCUUAUGGGCGCUUGGUUCAGAGGUUUACUCGGCUGGCGAUUGUGGCAUACAUAUCGUGCCCUUAGGCAUAUUGCAACCUUCCAGUCUCCAAGUUGCAUUGCAAUCCGAGCUGUAAUCGACCAGUAAAUUUCCUUGAGUUUUUGGUUGGCGACGGUGGUAUUCAUGCAGUGCCCUUAGGCAUAUCAUAGCUUCUGGGUUCAGUCUCCGACUCGUGUUGCGAUUCAAGCUGUAAUCGACCCAUAAAAUUUUCAUGAUUCUCUGGCCGGUGAUGGUGACAUUCAUGUCAUGCCCUUAGGCAUUUUGUAGUUUUUGGGUCUAGUCUCCGAGCCGCGUUGCGAUUGGAGCUGUAAUCGACCCAUUAAUUUCUAUGAUUUCGUGGCCAGCGAUAGUGGCAUUCAUGUUGUUUGGUCGUUUGAGACCUUUUAGUAUGUGGCCCAGAGGCUUUACAUAGUUAACUAUUUUGGAUCCGGUCUCUGAAUCGAGUUACGAUUCGAGCUCAUUUUAAUCCUCAAGUUGUCAAGAUUUUCCAGCUGACGACAAUGGCUCUUACGCUGUUUGGUCAUAGAGACCUUUCAAUAUGUGGACCGUAGGCUUGCUUAGCUGGCGACAAUGGGUCUUACGCUAUUUUUGUCUUGUACAGGCUUUUUUUAAGGUCUCGAGAUCGAGCUACCAGGGGUUCAAUAUUGGCAAUAUAGAGCAUAUUGGCAAUAGUGGGCAUUGCUUAAUCAUAUCUUUAUCUGUUAUCCCAUCCCCGACCACCCUUGGCAGCUUGAUCUCGAGCCAGGUAUUGACCUCGAGGUCCCAUCGACCAUCUCGGAGCUCGGGCAACAGACCCCUUUGGUUUGAUUACUGCCUCGCCUUAACUCGCAUUUUAUCUUUACACUCUGUGUUCAUAGCAUUACCUGCUUUAACAACUAGCCCGAGAAUAGAUCACGUAUUUUUAAAGUCCCAUUUACAAAUUUAAUUGUUGUUACCAUUUUUACGAUAAACAACGGCCCUUAAGAAAUUAUUAAUUAUAAAAAGAAUUGGACUAUUCUAUCCUUAUUUAUGUCAUAAGAUUUAAUAUCUCUUCAUUAAAUAUUUAUUCUAUUUAUGUCUUAUCUCCAUCUUCAAGAACAAUUUACUAAGGGCAAAAAGGAAAAAACUAAUUUGUCUUUAACUUCUAAAAUGACAAAUAAUUUGAGAAAACUAUUUUUGAUAAAAGUGACUAUUAAUAAAAGGCGAAGGUAGUAAGAGAUAAGUCUGAAUGUGACAAUUUAAUAAUAUAAAAAUUAAAUUAGGAAUAAUUUAGUCAAAUUAUCUAUAUUUUUUACUUAAGGGGGUGCAGAUGCAAAGCAGACACUUAUUUUGAAUCGGGGUGAGUAAUUUGUAUGUACCUUCAGCUGAAGCAAAUUUACCCUUAGUCAUUACAAACACAUAAGCUUAGAGUCUGUUUGGCCAAGCUUCUAGGAGGCCAAAAGUACUUUUUCUCACAAAAAAGUACUUUUUAAAAAAUUUGAGUUGUUUGACUAAUACAGAAAAGUACUUUUGGCCAGCAUCAAAAUCAAUUUUUCUGCUUUUGGUAAGAAGCAGAAAAUUUUAGCUUCUUCCCAGAAGUAGAAGCAAAAGUAGAAAAUUAAUUUAUUUAUGACAAAACCAUCCUCACCAUAUAUAUAUAUAUAUAUAUAUAUAUAUAACAUUCCAAAGUUUUUGUUGACUUUUCUUGUUUUUGAUUUUUUCUUUGUGUAAUGUCUUAUAACUUUCCAAAUCCGCUUCUUCUUUUUUUCACACUAAAAUAAAUUAUCUGCAUCCUUUUUUGGAUUAUCAAUUCUCAUCCUACGAAUAAUUAUUUAUAAUUUCUUCUAUUAUAUGCUAUUAAAUUUUAAAUAUUUAUCAAAUCUAAUUUGUGAAAAUAACUUAUAAAUAGGUAAUAUUACAAUUGCAUUGCAUAAUCUAUCUAUAUACUAUUAGAAAAAAAGAUUGCAUCCACGUUAAGUCAAGAGACAACCUCACAGUAGGCCAUUUGACAUUUUAGGACAAAGUUAGUAAAGUUAGGUAAUAAUUAGUUUUUUUGAAUUAAUUUUUUUUUUAAAAAUAAAUAAAUUAUACAUUAUGUGUUGUUAAUAAUUAGUUACUCAUUUUGAAUUAGAAUUUAAACAUACUUAAUUAUUUAUUUACAAUUCUUUUUAUAUAUUUACAAUUAUUUCUAUUUUACGCCUAAUGUCAUCUUUCAAGUUUGUCACUCAGAAUCAUCCAGUUAUAACUACCAUGGCUAUAUAUAAUUUCAUCCGACGACAUUCUUCUACCGAUAUAAAAUUCAACUAUUAUGCCAAUGAAGAUAUUACUGCAGAGAUUGACGAAGGAGAUGAGUCUUCUGAUAUUCCUUUAGAAACGCGGGGCAAGUCUUUUACUAAUAUGAAGACGUUGUGUGAUAGAAGUAGAGAUAAAAUUGUAAAAGACUUCUAAUUUAUACCGAAUGAUGUUAUUCUAAUUUUUCAAAUCAUCAUAUAACAAUAAGUAAUUAUACUAGAUAAUAUCAUAUGCUUUGGUAUAACUAUGUAAAAUUGACUUAAAUAUUUAAUAUGGUUGUUUACUUUAUGUUUUGCUAUAUUUUAAUCGAAUAGAAUAAAAAAUAACUUAAGUCUUUUACGAUAAAUAUUUAAGUUUAUUUUUCUAUUUAAAAGAAUUAUAAGAUCUUGUUAUUAUUUUUUUAGUAAUUUAACAGUCAAAAAUAUUUUUUAUAAAGAUUGAUCAAAUAUAAUUUAUUUAUCGAAUAUUACAAAAAGUACUUCUUAAAUAAAUUGAUUAAAUAUAAAUAAUUUUAUUUUCAAAAGUACUUGACACUUUCGCCGAAGGAGCUCUUAAUCUCUAAUGGUACGUAGCAGCUAGUGAUGUUAAAAGUGGAAAAAUCAAUAUACCAUAUUAUUAAGAUCAAGGAUUAAUUUGACGGUUCAAAUGUGGGUUCGUGAAUAAGUGGGACCGUAUAAUUUGGGCAUUUGAAAUGAAAUGGUACUCUUUUGUUGUUGCUCUUAAAACAAGCUUCAAAUUAUCAGUCUAACUAAUUGAGAUGGCGACGAGGAGAGGAGCAAAACGCAGUGUUAUUGAAAUUUCCUCUUCUUCCGAAGAAGAAGAAGAAGAAGAAGAAGGAGGAGAAGGAGAUGACGAAGAAGGAAGCUCAGAAGAAUCAGAACCAUUAUCAGAAUCGGAUGACGAUGAUUUUGACUCCUCCGCCUCAAGGUAUUCUUUUCCAAUUAAUAUAUCAAGUGAUUAAUCUAUCAAUCAAUUUACGCCUCAAUUCAAAACUAAUUAGGCUGGGCCAUAUGAAUUGUUAGUAUGUUCAUUCAAAUAUUACAUCGUUUAUUGUAAAUUUUAUGAUGAUCAAUUUUUGGGUAAUUUGGGCCAGCGAGAGCGAUGGCGAUUACGAAGAAUAUGACGAUGAGGAUGAUAUCGAAGAGGAAACUAAGGAGUCGGGGUGUGACAGAGUCCUUCGCCUUCUCCAAGGUAUAUAAGGAUUCUAUCAAUCGAUUUACGCCUCAAUUCCAAACUAAUUAGGCUGGGCUAUAUGGAUUAUAAUUAUGUUCAUUCAAAUACUACAUCGUUUUAUUGUAAAUUUUAUGAUGAUCAAUUUUUGGAUAAUUUGGGCAAGCGAGAGCGAUGGCGAUUACGAAGAAUAUGAUGAUGAGGAUGAUAUCGAAGAGGAAAGUAAGGAGUCGGGGUGCGACAGAGUCCUUCGCCUUCUCCAAGGUAUAUAGGGAUUUUCAUUUUUCUGCUGUUACGCUUCUGGCAAAUGUAUGGAUAAACUAAAGAAAAACUUAGUUGCACUGUUACUGUAGUAAAAUGUUAGGGUUAAUUAAUUUUUAUCAAUUUGUAGCAAAUUGAUCAUUCUUCAACCAAUCCCAGUGUUCUAUUUUUUAGUUGAAAUUAAUGAUUUUAACUCAGUUGCUUUCUGCACAAAUGAGUUUGAUCUUUAAAUGUGCACGCUCCCACAUUUAACUUUGUAACUAGUACCUGUGGUGUUGUGGUGGCUCGUCUUAAAUGUUGAAUUGCCUAUUUGAUUUGCCGGAGACCUACAUGGUCUAUCAAUCGAAGACCAAUCUGAGCUAUCAAUUUUGUUGGAUAAACCCAUGGAAGUGCAAGUUAGAGAAUGGCAUUGGUGACACACCAUGGACUAGCCCCUUUGCAGUUGCAUGAGUUAUUAAUAAUCAGCAAGUAGAGGAGCAAAAGAAGGCGCUGAGACUUUGAGAGCUACUAAAAAGAGUUUGCUGGGGUGGGAGCAACGACUAUUUCAGCUGAACACCCAGUUAAAAAGUGGACCUCUUUUGUCCAUGAGUUUGGCUCAAAUGUGUUUUCGUGUUAUCUUCUUGUUAGGCAACCUGCAUUACUGGAGCCAAGUGGGCAGGAAGAAGAUUUUUAUAUGGAAGUACUUUGAUAUAUGUUUUGCAUGAGCUUUCGUGGACACGGAAGGAAAGGGUGCAAAAGUAAUAUGGAUCCUAUGCCUGCCAUUGAGGAUAGAAUUAGUAAAAGAUGCAAAAUAAUUUACUCGUUAUUCAAUGGACAAUUUGGUGUAUUCGCAAUAUUUUCUAAACCGUAGAUCCUAACAUAUAUAUACUACAAUGCACUUAUUGAUUCUUCAAAGGGGUUCAUAACUUGUUCUCUUUUCAUGGUUGAGGCAAGUGUAGAAAAUUUCUCCAACUAGUAACAAUUUUUUUUCGUGUUCUGAAUCAAGACAAUAAAUUAGCUUGUUAUGGUCUUUCUAACAUAUAAAUAUAUCAAGUUACAUCCUUUUGUGUGUUAUAUAGGGUUUAUAGAAUUGAAGAAGCUAAAGGGAGAAUUGAGGAAGCUAACAUUGACGGACUAUAAAGCAUAUUUGCGGUCAAAUGGGUUGAGGUUAUCUGGUACAAAGGAAGAAUGUGUAGAGAGGAUCAUAGAGCACUGGAGGUAUGUCGGAGUGUAAGAUGUAAGCCUCAUGUAUUUGAAUGCACCCUAGAAUUUUUGCAAUUUCCAAUAAAGUGUGUUCUCGUGGCAUUCCAUUAAGCAUUUCUAUUUUUUUCUUUUCAUUCUUUUUUUCUUUUUUUUUUUGUUUCCUGUUAUGUUGUUUCUUUUGUGGCGUAAGAAAGGGCCCUGGUAAUAGCUAGAGUCUCAAGCAUUCAGGUUGCUUAUUGUGAGCAGCUAAAAAGGUUAUAUGACUCUUAAGUAUAAGGGACAAAUGUUAGCAUAUUACAAUGUGCAUACAGCAUAUAGUUAAGCAGAUUAAAAACCGUGGUUUGACUCAUUGUCAGUGAGACCUAGAAGUGCUCCAUGAUUUUGUUCCUACCUCAUCGUUCUAAAUUUGCAAAUUGACCGAAAAUAUUUCAAUCUGUGUGCUACAAUUAAUUUCUGAAUCAUUCUGAAGAUUUAACCAACUAAAUUAUUUUCUCUCCUUGAGCAGUUUGACCUUUUCGGAUCAUUGCACUAUAAUUUUGUUAAGAUAUUGUGUCGUGGAUAAUAUACUGUGCUUAUCUUCGUACUUACGAAGAAUGGAAGUUCCACACUUAUCUUCAUGGUUGCUAUUUCAUCUCUUUGUCCCCCUUUUGUCUCUGAACAUUAAUCUCACAUGACAGAUGUGGGUAUAAAUGGCUUUUCUCUUUUGAAUGUCUUGCACUCAUUGUCCAGCUCUGGCACUGAGUAUGCCAAUACAUCAGGAGUCUUUAGCUUUUUUCUGUUUUGACCUUAUGUUCUUUUAGCUCCAGAGGCACUUGUUCUACAACGACUGAAAAUCAGAACUUUCAUUCUUCUAUUGACAUCUCAAUCAAUGUGCUAAAAAGUUGCAUAUAGAAAGAUAUUGAAUCAAUUUGGUUACUUUCAAUAGCUCAUUGUUCUGUGAGCUUGGUGCUUCCCACUCAACAAAAACAAGUAAAAGAAGGCAGCGUAAGUGGUUGAAGCGCCAGCACAAUUCAUUAAUUCUUCAUGGUCUCACUUUUCACUUAGUAAGGAAUUAAUUGUAAAUAGUAUGAUGUUGUAAGUCCAUAUUUUGAAAUCUCUUGUUCCUUUCCCAGUAGUUUCUUUUAUUUUUUUCCCUUUUUGCUAAUGGAAAGUCCUAUUACUUGAUUUGUUCACAGGAUGAAAGAUGGAAAUUGUGAAAGACUAUAUCCCAAAUCAUCAUUUACCAUUAACUGCACCGGUAGUUUAUAUUUGGCAUCAUGACUCCUUCUCUGUUUUCUUAUGCUUCUUUAUUUUCCCUUUUGUUUUUUUCCAUCUUUGAGUAUUGAGACUGGUCAUUCUGCAGGUGACGUAUGUAGAGGAGAUGUUGUAUUAUUCACACAGAAAGUGUACAAGAAGUAUUCACCUAAUUGAUUCUCCUGUUUGUUUCACAUUUUGUCAGUGUGAAGUGGUCUUUGAUUCUUGGAUUAAAUGUGUCGUGUUUCUAAGUUUUGACAAGAUGACAAGGGGUGGAGAACUAUUAGGGAAGAGAACCAUUGCUGGGAGGAUUGUUAAGGAGAGUUAUGGUGCUGCCAAACAGCAGCAUACCUUUACGGUAAGGCUCAAUAGAAAGUUUUGAGAUAUGUGUAUAAGGGUUGAAAUCUUGACCCACAGUCAUGUGGAUAUAAGCUUGCAACUUGGCAAAAAAUCCAAUUGUACCACUUGAAUACCUAGCUGUAUCAUCCUUCUAAUAACCCUUUCGUGCAAUUUCAUGCGCAAAGUUUUGCUCAAAAUUUCUCCAUUCUCUAAUUUUUGUGAUUAACAAGGUUGAGGUGUUAUGGAGCCGAGGGGUUAAACAAUUAUCUGCACUUUUUCCAUUGCUUGUAAAGGGACGAAACCUUUAUCAGUUGAAGACUUUCAGACAGGUGAACCGCAGCUACUCUAGAGUACCUGCAAUUCCUUUCAGAUAUUCUAACAUUUUAACGGUAUUUCUUGCUGCUGUUUUAUUAGAGAUGGAAGAAUGAAAAGGAAAGAUUAGAAGUGCUUGCAGAGAAGCACAAACGUGGAGAAGCAGCAAGAUUUAUUAGAGCAACAAGAAAAUCAAAAUCGAUAAAGCCGACAAAAGCAUCCUCUAAAAAUAAAGGUGCCCUUUAUGAAAAUUAAAUUGAUGAUACACCUUUAUGUUUACUCUAAUGUAGUUUUUUGUACAUGUAGGUAACAAGCGUCAGAAACUUGAUCAUCAUAGGAGGCCAAGCAAAACGAUACAGACAAGCAAAGUAAAGAAACAUAAUUGUUCUAUUGAUGAACGCGGAAAAGCAAAGGUAGUAAACAAAAGAACAAAUCACCGCCAUGAAAAGCCUCGUCCACCUGGGAGAUUGAAUUUGGCAGAGUCCAGAAAUAGUAGAGCCCCUAUGAGGCAUCCAAACUUUGUACCUGCCAUUGGGGAGACCUCAUUACAGUUCAAUUAUUCUUCAGCGAAUAAUUUCCGCCAUUUUGAAUCAGAUUAUUAUGGCCAAGGAGUACCAUAUUCGUAUUCAUCUAACUGGCAUUCUGCACCCAGAUCACAUUUAAGCUCUUAUUCCUCUUAUGCUCUGCCUGCUCCAGAACAUCAACAAUAUGAUCAUGGAAGCUAUCCUAAUUUUUCAUAUCCUAGGUAUGUAUCUCAGUCUAGUAAUCAUCCACGUUUUCCUGGCAUGGUGGGAACUCACAGAUCAUCUAGUUCAUUCCCAUUUGUAAACUAUGAACGUAGAUAAAACUCUUAGCCUUUUGUCUCUCUUGCUCUGGCCCGUGCUGUGCACAUAGGAGCAGCAAGGGGUUUAUGUAAACCCGGUUUACAUAAACAAAAUGGUGCAAGGGGUCUUAAACUGACUUUUGGAGCAUUGCCUUGUUGUAAGUGUCAAAUUUCAAAUAUUUGUACAGCGAGUCGCAAAAGUGUUUUGUCUUUAAUUGGCAGUAUUAAAGCUGUGGUCUCUUUUUUUAGGUUUAGUAGUUCCAUUUUCUUUUGCAUUCAAGUGGAAUUUGGGACUUGGAUUUUGGAAGGGUGAGCUAUGUCAAAUUUCAAAAUAUUUGUGCAGCAAAUUUGCAUAAGUGUUUUGUCUUUAAUUGGCAGUAUUAAAGCUGUGGUCUCUUUUUUUGUUUUAGUAGUUCCAUUUUCUUUUGCAUUCAAGUGGAAUUUGGGACUUGGAUUUUGGAAGGGUGAGCUUGAUCACGCCACAAUUUCAGAGUUCUGUUGGAUCCUGUCCUUUUAUUCCCCUUUUCUCUGUUCGUUGAGUUAUUUACGAUCUUGUACUACGUCUAACUAGACGUGUCCCAAAAAAUAAAAGAUGAGCUUUUCUUAGUGGGCUUUUGGACAUAAGAAUUGUAAAAUUUAGGAAAAAAGUGAAAAAGAUAUUAAAGUGAAAAUGAUAUUUGAAAAUUAGAGUUGUGUUUGGUCAUGAAUAUAAUUUAGGGUGGUUUUUGAAUUUUUGUGAGUGAUCUGAAGUGAAAAAAAACUUUUUGGAGUUUUUCAAAUUUUCAAAAAAUUUUGAAAUUUAUUUUUAAGUGAAAAUUGAAAAUUUUAUGGUUAAAUGCGGAUUUCAAAAAGAAGUAAAAAAAAAUCGAAAAAAGAAAUCUUUUUGUAUGGCCAAACGGGCCCUAAAUUUGCUUAGAGUGAAAACCAUAUUCCCUUUCAAUUUCGGGUUAAUUCAAUUAUCAUUCAUUGAAUAAAAGCAAAGACUAUUUUACCUUGUCUAUUACCAAGUUCUUCUUUUUUGUAUUUUGUGAACGCCUUGCACAGGAAUUAACUUAUCUACCUUCGAUGUUUACAUUAAAUUGUAUGAAUUUACAUAAUUAAGUAUAAAUUAAGGUGAUAAUGUAUAUAAUUGAUAAUUAGUAUGUUUAGAAGAUUUACCGAAGAUAUAUGGUUUCUUAAUCUGACAGAAGAUAUCUGAAAUAUAUAAUUUUUUCUUUUCUUUGCAUGACCCUAACUUUGAGACAGCACUGCUUGACACCCCCCNNNNNNNNNNNNNNNNNNNNNNNNNNNNNNNNNNNNNNNNNNNNNNNNNNNNNNNNNNNNNNNNNNNNNNNNNNNNNNNNNNNNNNNNNNNNNNNNNNNNNNNNNNNNNNNNNACCCCGCUUCCCGACCACGUCAUCAACGGUAGCAUCAGCCAGCAGUAAUGAAAAUUAAAGGUUAGGGUGGGUUUGGUGUUCGCAUCGUAGCCUUUUGAGAUUAGACUCGCGAGAUAAGGUUAAAAUAGCACGAAUUAGCUAUUUUUCGGAUUGGUCAUUCAAAAAUAGCCAUCGUCUGUCAAGUCAUUGAAAAAUAGUCACUAUUUUGCUGCAAUAGAGACCGGUCCAGCAUAAUAUACUGGAGUUCGGUGCACCUGUGUGUGAACUUCCAGCAUAUUAUGCUAGAUCAAUAUACUUUGCCGGCUCCAGUAUAAUAUACUGGUGACUGGAGCACCGGUGCUCCAAAUUUCUGUAUAUUAUGCUGGAUCGAUAUAUUGUACUGGAAAUUCAAUAUAUUAGACUGGAGUUCUAAUAUAUUAUGUUGGAGUAUUUUUUCGGAUUUUGAAUAGUGUUUUCAUGUAGAUUUAUUUUUAUAUGAAAAACAAUUAAAUUUUAAUUAUUUUUGAUACUGUAAUUAUUUUUAAAUGAUCACUUAUAAUUUUAAUUAUUUUUGAAUUUCUACCCGCAAUAAGACAUAUCUUACUAAUCAUUUUUUGGUUGUGUCGAGCUAAAUUUUGGGCCUACUGGAUAACGACUACUCCUUUUCUUUGGUCCAAAUAUCAUAGGUUACACGUCAUAAAGUUUUUUGUUCUUGCUGGAUCGAAUCCUCCAGAAAAUUUACUCGAAAAUACUGUUUGCGUGACUAUGAUUGGACAAACAAUCGUAUACCAAAGAGAGUGGAAGGAUACCUGCAGAAUACAUAAUCCAAUGAACAAACAAGCGCCUCUGCUAAAAAAAAGCAAUUAGAUAUGCAAAACAUCUUAUAUUCAUAUAAAGUUUUGGGAAGAGCCAAAUCUUUAAAGGUGUGAUGUAGACAACAUACCCUAAUGUAAGUAUUAGUGACCAUCUCAUGGAAAAAGGAGCACCUUCUACUCAUACUAUCACACAGGCAAGGAUUUUCACUUUCUAAAUAGAAAGAAAGAGGUACGGCUGGGUCAAGAUGGCUUAAACAAUGAGUCAUAAUUCAACCCGCCCAACUUGGCACAUAUUUUAGAACCAUGUUUAUCUUGCAUAAAAAAAACCUUUUACCUUAUAAUAUGUAAGUUGACAAAUAUUUUAUGGGUUGGGGUAGGGGAGGGAGGCGGUUGGGUGGAUGAUGUAGAAAACGAAAAAAUAUAAAAACAAACAGAAAAUUGAAAUUAUAAAAAAAAAAAGUUGAGGGGUUUUGUGGGGGGUGGGGNNNNNNNNNNNNNNNNNNNNNNNNNNNNNNNNNNNNNNNNNNNNNNNNNNNNNNNNNNNNNNNNNNNNNNNNNNNNNNNNNNNNNNNNNNNNNNNNGUAAUCUAUAAAAAAAAUAAAAAAAUAAAAAAUACAAAAAAAAGUAAAUUUUUUUAGGGGGCGACGAGCUUCUGGCGUAUAGAAAAAUAACGGCUCGUACUCUGUCGAAUUCUAAUAUAGUUUAUGAUAUCGUCCCAUAGAGAUAGGUUAACCAAGGCUACACACUUGUAAUAUUUUUACUACUGUUUGAGAGAACCAAAUUGAUGAAAGGUGAGUGUUGAAAGUUGUUAAUUAAUUAAUGCAAAACAAAUAAUUUCCGAAAGAUUGAUAAUUUAAAAAGAGUUGGGAAUCGUUGAAUUCACUUGAUAAUAUUAUUACAAUAAAAUCUCAAUUUCUACAUAAAGAUUUAAAAUUUAAAAAGAGUUGGGGAUUGUUGAAUUCACUUCAUAAUAUUAUUACAAUAAAAUUUCAAUUUCUACAUGUAUUUCUUUAAAGAAUAAUUGCUUAUUGCUAAUACAAUUAUAUUUGCUCACUAAGAAAAAGUCAAUUAAUAGCACUCCGUGAGGUUAUGCACUUAACUGAGUUAAAACUAGUGACGAUCAAAGCGAAUAUUUUGUUGCUUGAAUUGUGCUAAAAGGUAGUGAAAACUUCGUGAGAAUAUUUUCACUAAUAUCAGUAAUCUUGCCUACAACAAUCCCUCCGUGAGAAUUAAAAUUGAGACAAACAAGAUUACAAAUUUAACGAGCUUCUGGUGCAUAGAAAAAUACGGCUCAUACUCUGUCGAAUUCUAGUAUAGUUUAUGAUAUCGUCCCACAGAGAUUGGUUAACCUAGGCUCCAGAGUUUUAAUAUUUUUACUACUAUUUGAGAGAACCAAAUUGAUGAAAGGUGAUUGUUAAAAGUUGUUAAUUAAUUAAUGCAAAACAAAUAAUUUCCAAAAGAUUGAUAAUUUAAAAAGAGUUGAGAAUCGUUGAAUUCAAUUGAUAAUAUUGUUACAAUAAAAUCUCAAUUUCUACAUGUAUUUCUCUAAAGAAUAAUUGCUUAUUGCCAAUACAAUUAUAUUUGCUCACUAAGAAAAAGUCAAUUAAUAGCACUCCAUAAGGUUAUGCACUUAACAGAGUUAAAACUAGUGACGAUCAAAGCGAAAUAUUUUGUUGCUUGAAUUGUGCUAAUAGGUAGUGAAAACUUCGUGAGAAUAUUUUUACUAAAAUCAGUAAUCUUGCCUACAACAAUCCCUCCGUGAGAAUUAAAAUUGAGACAAACAAGAUUACAAAUUUGACGAGGUUCUGGCGUAUAGGAAAGUACGGCUCGUACUCUGUCGAAUUCUAGUAUAGUUUAUGAUAUCGUCCCACAAGAUUGGUUAACCUAGGCUACAGACUUUUAAUAUUUUUACUAUUAUUUGAGAGAACCAAAUUGAUGAAAGGUGAGUGUUGAAAGUUGUUAAUUAAUUAAUGCAAAACAAAUAAUUUCCGUAAGAUUGAUAAUUUAAAAAGAGUUGGGAAUCGUUGAAUUCACUUGAUAAUAUUAUUACAUUAAAAUCUCAAUUUCUACAUGUAUUUCUCUAAAGAAUAAUUGCUUAUUGCUUAUACAAUUAUAUUUGUUCACUAAGAAAAAGUAAAUUAAUAGCACUCCGUGAGGUUAUGCACUUAACUGAGUUAAAAUUAGUGACGAUCAAAGGAAAUAUUUUGUUGCUUGAAUUGUGCUAAUAGGUAGUGAAAACUUCGUGAGAAUAUUUUCACUAAAAUAAGUAAUCUUGCCUGCAACAAUCCCUCCAUGAGAAUUAAACUAAAACUUUGUGAGAAAAUUCAACUAAAACCAAUUCAUAAAUGUAAACAACAUUUAACAACACUCAUGUUCACCUAUUGCAAAUUGAAAUCAUAAUAUUUUCUAAUCCCAAGCAUCUCUCUCCAAUGAAGUACGAUGCCCAUAGUAUAUAUCAUUAUAGAACAAAGAAGGGCAUAGAGAAUUUUUUUUUAAAGAAAACUCUCACUCUCAGCAAAGUAAGUAUCUCAUGUUACCAUAAAUUGCCAUAAGCUUGACUAUAAUGUGAUUAUCCACUAAUAUAGGAGAUCUUGAGUCGAGAUCAUGUAGGACUUUAUAUAGUUAUAAUGUAGGCCUAGGGACAAGUAUAUAUAUAUGGAUAAGAGUGACUUAUGUCCCUAUAGGCACUAUAUUUAUAUUAGCACUUAAGUACAACGACCUUCCGCAUAAAAAAAUCAUCCUCUGUCUCUCUUUUUUUUUUGUUUUUUUUUUUCUUCUCUUUUUCUUAAAAAUUGGAUUUCAAGAGCAACACACAUUUAUAAUUUUUUCUUUUGGUAGCUUAAAUCAGUAAGCUCAACAAUCACCCCGGCGUCUCUUUUUUCACAAUUAUUCUUUCCACUAAUUUCAACUUUUUUAAGUGCCAUUAAUUUCACAAUUUUUCUUCCCACUCAAUGAAUGGUACUAAAAAAAUAUCAUAACAAAUAAGCUAUGGGUUAAAGUUCGGAAUAAACAAGGAUAAUUUAUUUAGGCUCAACAUGGUUAACUAAGGAUAGAUAUAAUCAAGGGAGGUAAAUUUUGGCCAUGAUUUGACAAGGACGACCUACUUUCAUUUUCUAACUCAAAAAUCUUCCUAUCAUUUCGCCUCAAACCACACUCAAGGCAAGUUCUAGAUUUAAAAUAGACAUGAAAACUGGACAAUAUAAACUGACCACACAAUGCACUUGGGAUCAACAAAUACUAUGAUUUUAAUAAACAAUGAACAAGUAUGAGUUUAAGAAAGGGAGUUAUACAAUCCAUGAAUGGUACUCAAUUAAAUUCGUCUUUCCUAAGUCUCAAUCUUUUUAUAGAGAAAAUCAAGUGUUUAGACAACUUAUUUUCUGAUUAAACUAAAAAAAAUUAAAGAAAUGUUCAGUUCAAAAUACUACGACCAUGGCAAAGAACCGAACAAGAAAUCCAUGGAGAUACGUAAAUAAAGUUAUUUACCACUAGAAAAUAAGUGCUCAUAUAUAUAUAUAUAUAUAUAUAUAUAUAUAUAUACCAAACUGCCAGAUGUAUUUGGCUUUAUUUUUACUCCGUUCUAUUUUUUCUCUUUUCUAUUUCAGUAACCUUCAAAAACAAAGACAAAAAUAAUUAGUGCUUUAUGCGCUAGUUAGUUUAAUGAAAAAUAUAAUAAAAGUGAAAUGAUAAACAAAAUAAAGAUAGCUAUAUUAAUAUGCAGAUUUGUUUUUUGGUUAACUUACCUGAUGAUGAUUGCAGAUACAUCUUUAUCAAAUCCUCCAUUGACAUAUAGCUUUAAUCUGUGUCCAUUAACUUUAAAUUUAUUUUCUCCAUUUACUUUGUUACCAUCCUUCUAUUGUUGGAUCUCAACUGCUCUAUAGGGUGUGACGUUUGUAACCAGGAAAGGACCAGUCCAACGAGAUUUAAACUUCCCUGGAAAAAGUUUUAAUCUACUGUUGCAUUGAAGCACCAAAUCUCCAAUCUUGAACUCUUUUCUCUUAAUCAGAUAGAUUGUCGUGCCAUUUUUUUGUUUUUUCUUUGAAAAUCCUUGCAUUCUCAUAUGCCUCCAUUCUCAAAUCAUCUAGCUCAUUUACCUGCAUAAACCUGUACUUUUCGGUAGAGGCCAGUUCACAAUUUAAUGUUUUUAUUGCCCAAAAGGCCUUAUGUUCAAGCUCAACCGGUAAAUGACAAGCUUUUCCAAAGACUAAUCUAUAUGGGGAUGUACCAAUUGGCGUUUUGAACACCGUUCAAUAUGCCCAUAAUGCAUCAUCUAAUUAAGGCCCAGUCUUUACGAGAAAUUCCAACCGUCUUUUCAAGUAUUCUUUUUAAUUCUCGGUUAGAAACUCCUACUUGUCCUUGUUCUGAGCGUGAUAUGGUGUACCUGUUUUAUGAGUUACACCAUAUUUUGCUAGUAACAAGGAAAAUUGCUUUUUCAUGAAGUGGGUUCCUUGAUCACUAAUAAUGACUCGAGGUGUUUCGAAUCUGGUAAAAAUAUUUUUUCUUAGAAAUUUACACACCGUUCGAGCAUCAUUUUUCCUUGUACGAGUGGCUUCAACCCUUCUUGAUACGUAAUCUACCGCCACAAGAGUGUAUUCAUAAGAAUACGACGAUGGAAAAGGACCCAUGAAGUUUAUUCCCCAAACGUCAAAUAUUUCACAAACCUGUAUUAACUGCAAAUGCAUCUCAUCUCUUCUCGUGAUGUUACCUGUUCUUUGGCAUCUAUCACAAGUUGCAACAUAUGUUCUAGCAUCUUUGAAAAGUGUAGGCCAAAAGAAUCCCGCCUCUAAAACUUUAAAGGCGGUUCUAUUUGUUGCAUAAUGACCUCCUACUGUUCCGUCAUGGCAAUGAUGUAGAAUGUUGUAUAAAACUUUAAAGGCGGUUCUAUUUGCUGCAUAAUGACCUCCUACUUUUCCUUCAUGGCAAUGAUGUAGAAUAUUGUUCAUUUCUUCUUCAGGUACACAUCUUCUGAUAAUGUUAUCUGCACAAAUUUUAAACAAGUAAGGCACAUUCCACAGAUAAUAUUUAGCAUAAGAUAUAUGCUUUUUUCUUUGUUGGUGAGAGAUCUUGGAGUGUCCAUUUUCCAACCAAGUAAUUUGCAAUAUCUGUAAACCAGGGUGUUUGAGUCACAACUGAGUUAACUGAAAAAAAUGUGUUCAUCAGGAAAAUCUUCCUUUAUAUCACAAGAUCCAAGGGGAGUUUUUUUAAUCUAGACAAAUGGUCAGCUACCUGAUUUCUGUUCCUUUCUUAUCUUUUAUCUCAAGGUCAAAUUCUUGAAGAAGUAAAAUCCAUCUUAAUAAUCUAGGUCUAGCGUCCUUUUUUGCUAAAAGGUAUUUUAAAGCCGCAUGAUCAAUAAAAAUAGUGACAUUUAUAUCAAAUAUGGAAGACAGUUCUAGCGUCCUCUUUUGCUAAAUGGUAUUUUAAAGCUGCAUGAUCAGUAAAAAUAGUGACCUUUGUUCCUAUAAAAUAUGGACGAAAUUUAUCAAAUGCAAAUACUACUGCCAAUAACUCUUUUUCUGUAGUGCAUAAUUCAGCUGAGCCUCAUUAAUUGUUCUAUUGGCAUAGUAAAUGGGACGAAAGAUCUUAUCCUUUAUCUGGCCUAAAACAGAUCCAACUGCUAUAUCACUCGCAUAACACAUGACCUCAAAACGGUUGGUUCCAAUCAGGGAAUACAGCUAGAGGUGCAGUUGAUAAUUUUUUCUUAAGAGUUUCAAAAGCAUUUAUGCAAUCACUGGAAAAAUCAAACUUAGCAUCUUUCAUCAGCAGGUUAGUAAGCGGUUUUGAAAUCUUUGAAAAGUCUUUUAUGAACCGUCUGUAAAAACCUGCAUGACCCAGAAAACUUCUAAUGCCUUUAACAGUUGUUGGAGGGGGUGAUCCUGCUAUUAAAUCAAUUUUUUCCUUAUCAACUUCUAUCCCUUUAGCAGUGAUUUUAUGUCCUAAAACAAUUCCCUCAGUAACCAUAAAAUGACAUUUUUCUCAAUUAAGAAUCGAGUUUGUCUCUUCACAUCUCUUAAGAACUAAGGUCAAGUGGUGAAGACAAUCCUCAAAUGUUUUCCCAAAGAGUGUAAAAUCAUCCAUAAAGAUAUCUAGGAACUUUUCAGUCAUGUCAUAAAAUAAUGCUGACAUGCAACGCUGAAAUUUAAUAGGGGCGUUGCACAGACCAAAUGACAUUCUUCUGUAGGCAUAUGUUCCAUGGGGACAAGUGAAAGUUGUCUUAUCAUGAUCUUCGGGUGCAAUUGAUAUCUGGUUAUAUCCUGAAUAGCCAUCAAGAAGACAGUAAAAACCAUAGCCUGCAAUUCUUUCCAACAUUUGAUCAAUAAAUGGUAAAGGAAAAUGAUCUUUUCUAGUAGCAUAAUUGAGACGUCUGUAAUCAAUACAGAUUCUCCAUCAUGUGAUGGUCCUGGUAGGUAUGAGUUUAUUAUUUUUAUAACAAUCAUAUCUCCUUUAUUUGGUACUAUCUGAACUGGGCUUACCCAAGGGCUGUCUGAAAUGGGAUUGAUAAUACCUGCCGCCAAAAGCUUUACGAUCUCCCUUUUUACCACAUCCUGCAUUGCUGGAUUCAAUCUCCUUUGGAGCUAGAAUAUUGUCCUGUAGCUAUCCUCCAUAAGGAUUCUGUGCGUACAAAUAGCUGGAUUAAUCCCUUUGAUAUCUUCUAUAGUCCACCCAAAGGCUCCUCUGUGAGCUUUCAAUACCUCAAUUAAUUUCUCUUCUUGUUCUGCAGUCAAAGAAGAUGAUAUAAUCACUAGAAACAAUUCUUGCUCAAGAUAAACAUAUUUUAAAUGGGAAGGGUGAACUUUGAUUUCAAUUUUCGCUUGAACUUCUUCUGGUUGUAUCUCCAUGUUAUUGGAAUCCAUUUCCAAUAUUUUAGCUUUACUCCUGAUUGUGGGAUCAUCAUCUUCUAUGGUACCUGAUUUGGCCAAGCAUCUUUCUAUUGAGUCUGACAUUAAUUGAUCGUCUUUGAAUUCAUCUGCAAGAUAAGUAAUCUCGUCAAUUAAAAAGCACGAAGAUGAUGUUUCAUCUCCUGAAAAUCUUAAUAUCUUUUGCAUAUUAGAAAUGACUCUUUCUUCAUCAACUCUCAAGUUUAGUUUUCCUUGAUGGACAUCUAUGAUUGCUCUACCUGUAGCAAGAAAUGGUCUACCCAAAAUUAUUGGUUCAUCAAGACAUUCUUUCAUUUCAAGCACUACAAAAUCUAUAGGGAAAACAAAUUUAUCUAUUCUUACAAGUACAUUUUCAAUUAUUCCCUUAGGUUUCUUAGUACUUUGAUCUGCAAAAUGAAGAGACACACAUAUGUCUUUCAUUUCACCAAUUUUUAAUUUUCUGAAAAUAGAAAAUGGCAUCAAAUCUAUUGAAGCUCCAGAGUCACAGAGUGCCUUUUCAAAAUACGGACCUCCCAAAGUACAUGGAAUUGUAAAGCUACUAGGAUCACCGAGCUUUUGUGGUAGUUUAUUUUAAAGUAUAGCAAUGUAUUUUUCAGUAAGCAUUACCACAAAAAACUUCUUCCAAUUUCCUUUUGCUUAAAAAUAUUUCUUUUAAAAAUUUGGCAUAUGAAGACAUUUGCAAUAAAGCAUCAGUAAAAGGAAUAUUAAUAUGAAUUUGUAUUAAAAUCUCCAAAAACUUUGCGAAUUUACUAUCAAGCUUUUCUCUUUUCAAUUUUUGUGGAAAAGGAAUAACCACAGGUAGAGGAGUCAUUUUUUCAACAUUCUUUUCUUCUUUUUUCUUGACUUCUUUACCUUCUGAUAAUUCGGAUGGAGUUUCAACAUUCUUACCUUUGCCUACCUGUUCUUCUGACCGAAGCAUUUCUUGUAUGUUUGCAUGAGGUUCAUCAAGAUCCUUACCUGGCCGUAAGGUGAUGGCCUUAAGGUAUUCUUUUGGAUUUUUCUCUGUAUUACUUGGUAAGGGACCUUGAAUUUUUUCUGAGACAAGAGUUGCCAGUUGGCUUAAUUGAACUUCCAAAUUUUUUAAGGCUGAAUUCUGGCUUUCCAUCUUUUCAUCAGUGACCUUAAUGUACUAUUACAAAAGAUCAUCUAGACUUGGAUGAGCUUGUUGAGGUUUUUGCUGGUAUAGAGAUGUUUGCUGAUAAGGUCUGAAGUUUGAUUGACCAUGGUUUGGAUUCUGGUAUCCGAGUGGACCCUGCAUUUGUUGCUUCUGAAAGCUUUGAGAGUUCUCUGCUCCAUUUGGAUUGCUCCAUUGAAAUUCUGGAUGCUUUGUGCCAUUGGACUUCCAAAAGGAUACGAUUUAUAACCGACAGAAUGGACAUAUUCGUCAUUAUGAUUGUUUGCUUGACAUUCAUGGUUCAGAUGGGUUCCUCCACACAUGUCACAAGCCUCAGAUUGACUUGGUUGUUGUGUAUUCACCUGAAAAGUUUCAAAUUUUUGUGCCAAAGAAGCAUCAACCCGAUUUAUCGUAGCAGCCUUCUUUAUGAUUACACGCUCAGAUGGCCAUUGGAUGGCAUUCUCAGAAAUCUCAUUCAACAAUUGCAAUGCUUACUCUGUGGUUUUUCCCAUUACAGAAUCUCCUGCAGCUACAUAAAUCACAUUUCUAGAAGAGGGUUUUAACCCUUGAUAAAAAAUAUAUGACCGCAUAUGUUCAGGAAUGUCAUGGUAUUGACAUUUUCUUAACAUUUCUUUUAAUCUUUCCCAAGAUUGAUACACUGAUUCAGUGUCAUUCUGCAAGAAAUUAGAGAUGUCUUGUCUUAACUUUGUGGUUUUAGCAGGGGAAAUAUAUUUGUUUAAAAAUUUCUGAGUCAUUUGAUCCCAUGUGGUGAUGGAACCUUGUGGCAAACUUCGCAACCAAGUCUUGACAUCCUUUUAAAGAGAAAGGAAAUAGCCUUAACUUGAUAGCUUCAGGAGGUAUUCCAUUAUGCAUCUCCUUUUAAAGAAAAAGGAAAUAGCCUUAACUUGAUAGCUUCAGGGGGUACUCCAUUAUACUUAGCUGUUUCAACAAGUUCAAAAAAAUCAAUUAAAUGAUUGUGUGGAUAUUCACUUGCGUCUCCAGUGAAGAUGCAAGACUGUUGAAUCGUUUGAAUCGAGCCAGUCCUGAUUUCAAAGUUGUUGGCUACCAUUGGAGGUUUUCUGACACUAGAUUUACAGUUGAAGCGGUCAAGUCUAGCAUAAUCCCUUAGGAUUCUAUUUGCUGGCCUUGGUGCAACUUCAUCAAACUGAUCCUCCACAUGGACUGGUGGUUGAAUAUCUUCUACUUCUUGAUUCUGCAUACCUUCACAAGCUAUGCUUUGGGAAGAUAAUGCUUUUCCUUUCCUGCAUAAUGGAAGAGAUCUUUCAAUUUCAGGAUCGUAAUUGACCAAUUCUUUUAUAGAAUAGAGGGUCAUAAACUACUCAAAAUUCUAAAAAAAAUGAACUUAACUCCUAAAGUGGUAGUCGUAGUAGUACUUAUAUUAAUUAGCAAUAGAUGUUACUUAAAAAAAGUAAACGAAAUCAGUAAGUAGUAACUGCAACUAAUGAUGAUAAGAAGGAUAAUUAGUAAUAAUACUUCUAUAAGAUGUUAGCACUUGUAAUAAUAAAAGUAAUAGUAGUAAAAUACUGAUAACAAAGAUACUAAUACUAAUAGUAAGUUCCCAAAUUAGUAACAAAAUAUUUAGUCUGAAGUAGACUUGUGCCAAUUCGCGGCAACGGCACCAAAAAUUUGACGAGCUUCUGGUGUAUAGGAAGAUACGGCUCGUACUCUGUCGAAUUCUAAUAUAGUUUAUGAUAUCGUCCCACAGAGAUUGGUUAACCUAGGCUACAGACUUUUAAUAUUUUUACUACUAUUUGAGAGAACCAAAUUGAUGAAAGGUUAGUGUUAAAAGUUGUUAAUUAAUUAAUGCAAAACAAAUAAUUUCCGACCGAUUGGUAACUUAAAAAGAGUUGGGAAUCGUUGAAUUCACUUGAUAAUAUUAUUACAAUAAAAUCUCAAUUUAUACAUGUAUUUCUCUAGAGAAUAAUUGCUUAUUGCUAAUACAAUUAUAUUUGCCCACUAAGAAAAAGUCAAUUAAUAGCACUCCGUGAGGCUAUGCACUUAACUGAGUUAAAACUAGUGACGAUCAAAGCGAAUAUUUUGUUGCUUGAAUUGUGCUAAUAGGUAUUGAAAAUUUCGUGAGAAUAUUUUCACUAAAAUCAGUAAUCUUACCUACAACAAUCCCUCAGUGAGAAUUAAAACUGAGACAAACAAGAUUACAAAUUUGAAAUAAGAGUUUUAUAAAAAUUAUUCUCAUUCUACUAUUUUAUUCAUUCGUUAUAAUAUAUUAAUUUUGCUUUGUGAGAAUUACAAAAUUAAUAUAAUAAUAACUUAAAUAAAAUAUAUAGAAGUGAUAAUAAUGAUUAGUUAGAAACCAUUAUUUCAGCACACUAUGAAUUAUACAAGGAAAAUUUCAAGCCAAGAAUGUAUUUAACUGAAAUAAUAUUAUAAAAAUAUAUAUCAAGCUUCAUCAACUAUCCCAACAAAAGAGAUUACUCAAUAACAGAGUAUUUAAAUCUCACAAAGACAAUAAAGAAGAAAUCUUGAAAGAGUAUUACUUUUGCUUGCAAAAGACUACAAGAACACUUAAGUGAAAGAGAUGAGAGACCAAUAUAAUAAUGUCUACUAACCAAAAAAAAAUAUAUAUAUAAUAAUGUCUACUCCUUAAUAUUUUAUCAUUUCUCUUAUGCGUUGCUAGCGUAUUUAUAGAGUUGUGAGCCUAGAUGGAUCUUGAGUUAAAGCCUUGAAAAUUCUUCAGUAAAAGCCUUGAUGAAUCCUCGCUUCAUUUCUUCUCUUUUCUUUAUUCCAUCAUUUUUUUCUAGAGUUCCAUAUUUUGUCUUGUCUAUGGUAAUUCUUCUUCCUGCAAUACUUAUUAGAAAAUAUGAGUUUUGAGCAUAAUAAUUAUUUAUUUUAUUUAAAAAAAUAUUAUUAGCUAUGAAAAAUAUAUGAAUAAUUUUUAUGCAUCAGGGGGUUUGCGCCGGGGUGGUGGGAGGGUUCUGUAGAGUGGUUGAUGCAGAAAAAUAAUAAAAAAUAGAAAAUUGAAAGUACAAAAAAAGUGAAUUAUUUUAGGGGUUUUGCGCGGGGUGGGGAGGAGGGUAGGGUGGUGUAGAAAAAUAAAAGAAUAAAAAAUUUAAAAUAUAAAAAUAAAUAAAUAAAAAUUGGAGCAACUAAGUAAAUUUCUAGAUAAGUUAGUUGAGAUCCUUUGUUUUGGGUGAGUUUCAUGAGUUGUAUUUGGGCUGUUAAAUGUGUCAGAAUGGGCUAUAAAAAAUAAUGAGUUAACUUGGGUUCAAUCCAAAUUGACCCAUGAACUAAAAUAUUUGUAGCUCAACCCAAUAAUCUCUGGACUAAUUGGGCGGGUUAGAUGGGUUUGGGCUCAAAUUAUCAUUCCUAGAUACCGCUUCGAUUCUUCUAACCACUGAGAGCGUAUCCCCACAGUGAGAAUUUUAAAAAUAGCCAGAUUUACCACCGGUCAUUGAAAAUAGCCAAGUUUCAAAAGUCAUCGAAAUUUAACUACUUUUUUUCUAAAGAUAAAUAUGAGCGAAAACACUGUUCAAAAUCCGAAAAAUAUGUCCGCAAAUUUUACGGGAGUUCCAGUAAGUAUAAAUGUCUAGUAUAAUAUACUGGAGUUUGGAGCACUGGUGCUCCAGUCUCCCGCAAAUUUUACAGGAGUUAGCAAAGUAUACAAGUCCAGCAUAAUAUGUUGGAGUUCCUACACAAAUGCACAAGAAUUCUCGUAUAUUAGACCGAUCCCUAUUACAACAAAAUAAUUGCUAUUUUUCAUUGACUUGAUAAAUGCUGAUUAUUUUUGAUUGACCAAUAUAAAAACUAAAUAUACUAUCAUAUUUUAACCUAAUUCAUAUUUCCUACCCUUAAUUUGCAGUGUGCCCUUUUCGUAAUUUUUCAUUCUCCCGUUCUUAAAUUGGAACAGGUGGGUAUCUAGAAAGCUCACCUUAUCGUUUGCACUCCUUCAUCGACAUUAAAAUAAAUGGAAACUGACACAUCUAUUAACUCGAUGUAUACAUAGAGAGUAAGAGUAUACAAUUAACAAUCAAGUAUAAUUUCACUUAGUGGGAUAUGAGUAGGGUAGUUUGUACGCAUGCCUUAUCCUUACCCUUAGGUAGAGAUGCUGUUUCCAAAUAAACCCCCGACAUCCUUUCCUCAAGAACUUCCCACCUUGCUCUUGGGGAGACUCGAACUCAGAAUCUCUCGAUUGGAAGUGGGGGUUGCUUACCAUAGAGAGUAAGACUAUAGUCACUUACAAUAUAGUAGUAUUCAGUUUUGCUGGCUUGGAGACUCAAUCCCACCUCCCCUAAGAAAAAGAAAAAAAACUCGUGCGAAGAUCCCAUUCACGUUCCUUCAAAUUGAUCUAUUUUUACAAUUCCAAAGCAAAUCAAAUUUAUAUAGCGUCCCAAUCAAAUCACACAAUACCACAACUAAAUAAAAAAUGUCUAACUUAGUAGGCCAUAUAUAGUGUACACAUGGGCGACAAUGGCAGUGACUCAGCUUUGAGCCUUGCCACUUUGUUGUUAAACCAGAAUCACAUUAACAAAGGAAAAGAACAUAUGGGCAUUUGAAUUAUAAAUGAUUCAAGAAAAGGCAGGUGUUUUAUUUCUUUCUACAUAUAUCUUGGAUUGGAGGGGUGGAGAUCGAUCUCUUGUGUCCAAGCAGAUCUGUCUUGAAUGUGCAAGUGCCAGUAGGACUGUGCCAGCGCGUCCGGAUCCAUCAAACCGUCCCUUCCUCCACUUUGCUGUUGUUGCUGUUGUUCACCAACCAACAGUCUGUUCUGUGAAGUCGAUACCAUUGAUCCCCUGCAAGCACAAAGCACCUUAACAUGGGCUAACAUUAUAGACCUCUCUGUAACAAAAUUUUAUAUAAUAAGCAUUCCCUAAAAGUCAAAUUUUGAUGGAAUCAAUUUUCAUGCUAUAUAUGUUACUGUAUGUUCUCUAUAACAUCACUAUGCUAUAACUGCAAAAAAAAUCCUGAACAAAUGAAGUUAUUAUAGAGAUGUUUAUGCUUUGGGAAGAACUCAAAACCAUUUCUGAGGCCUGAUAUUAGAUAUGCAGCAUAUUAGGGUGAUACCCAGAGGUAGUUUCUGUGGGUGCAGUUGACCCAUUGCUUUCGCCUUGAAUUAAGUAUUUUUAUAUGCAAAAAUAAUUUAAAAUGUAUAUAUAUAAUAAGAUCACUUACUUACUUUUGAAUUCAUUGACUUUAUUAAAUCCUAAAUUCGCCUCAAGCAAUAUGCAUGGUCUAACCCAAUAAAAAACCAAUAGAGAAAUUUGAUGGACAGAAUGACUACAACCUCCAGGCAUUGGUAUGUAAAUUUCUGAGGCCAAAGUAGCAAAUUGCUGUAGUCCAAUCCUAUCGGUAUUAUUCCUUUAUCUAUGCCCUACUGGCAUAUUAAGUAAAUUGCUUUUUUGGGGGGCAUAAAAAGCAUUGGUUGGUAGGAGCAGCGGUCAGUUCAUUAAUGCUAAAGAAUUUCACGAGAUCUUUCUGGUCCACAAUCUUUAGUGAGGCUGACUUUCACCACUUGAAAGUUCAAUUUAUGAGAUACUAGCUACAUCUUCAAAAAAUUCGGAUUUAAGUUUAGGUUACAUAUAUACAAAGAGGUAAAUUCAAUUUAUAUAUAUACAUAGAGGUCAAUUCAAUUUAAUUAGUUCUAGUAAGUUGUUACUCAUAUUCAGUGGCUGGCGAAGUCACACGGUCACAAUUGCGGACAACUGAUCAACCUUCGUCAAAAAAUUAUAUUGUAUAUAAGCAGAAUAUUACGUUUUAGAGGUAUAUUAUAAUCCAUAUUAAAUACCCUUUGCCGGAUUUUUUUUUCCAUCUUUCCAAUUUGAAUAUCUUUUGGAAAAGUUCUUUAACUUGGUCACUGCUCAUAUUGGACGUAUCAUGAAGCGUUAUCUGUUAUUAUUAAUUAAAAUAACCUAAUAGUGUAAAAAAAACUAUACACAAUCUAUAAACAGAAAAUAGAACAGCGCCUCAAGGAACCUUAAUUACCAUAAAAGUUCCGUCUCGUGGAAUAUCCAAAAAAUCCUUUUUGAUCUGAGUUGUCGUUGUUGUAAAGGUAAAUACAACUAAUUAAAAGAUUACUGUAUCUUCUUUGGAUAAAGAAAAGGCAACCACAAAUGAAGUAAAGCACAAUUUUGAUUGAUAAGUUUCAGUAAGCAGAAAAGCUUACCAAAACCGGUAAGGAAUAUAUGAGUGGACAAGUGGAGGAGAACAUGUACAACACACACACAAAAGAAAAAAAGACAAACCGAGGUGCGCCGACGUUGCCGUGGAUGAUGACAUGUGCCACGUGUAUUCCAAGUGGUUGAAACUCUCUUGCUACACAUUGCGAUAAGGCUCUCAUUGCAAACUUUCCACAGCCUGUGAUUUUUCUUGUUUAGUUUGUUCCUUGAUAUCAUCGAACGUAACCAAACUGAAAAGUUUAAAAAAAGGAAAGAAACUGUAUGACUUACAUAAUUCAGAGUAGCCGGCAAUUCCAUUAAGAGAAGCUGAGCAACCACUGAAGAGAACCGUCCCUCUUCCUCUUUCCACCAUUCCUGGUAGUACCUGGAAAUUUCAUUACUAUAUUAUUGUUUUAAGUCAUCGUUAAUAUAUACAACUGAAAUCCGCAUAUGUAACGCAAGAUUUUUGGACCUGUUGAGCGCAGUGGAAGGCGCCGACGGAGGAAACGGCGAUUGACUUUUCAAAAUGUUCGACCCUAAUAUCUGUAAAAUUUGUGGGGUUCCAAGAAACUGGCUGGUAUGCAUUGUAAACCAAGACUUCCACAAAACCAAGGGAUAAAACUCCCUCAAAUGCUUCUCUUACACUACGAGAAUCGGAGCAAUCGAUUCGGAUAGCAAACACCUGUGCUUUUUCUUCUCUUGCUAUCUCGUCAGCAAAUCUUGAUAAUCUACCUGUUACAAUAAACAAAGAGUUCUAAGUAUAGCUCCAAUUAACUGCAUUUUCGAUCGAAGAGCUCAAUAAACUUCCAAUAUAUAUUUAAAGUUCUCAGUAUUAAAUCGAUUCUGACUGACCCAAGUCACGGGCGAGUAUAGCAACUGUAUAGCCUUCAUGGGCGAACUUGCGAGCGAUGGAACGGCCAAGAUUAGGCCCUACGCCUACAACUGCGGCGAUGCCUUUGGAUGAGGCAGAACUCGCCAUGUUCCUCAUCUUCUUUUUUAAAAAUAAACUUAGAGCGCCACUUUAUCUUCUCUCUUAAUUAUAUGAAUACGUAGAAAUAGGUCUCUGAAACCGAAAUCAAAUGCAGCUACUUGUGCUUGACCUAAAAUUGGUAAUUUCCAACAUGUAUGUAGACCCUAGCUAAUACAGACUUAUAAUAGUGGGGAUGUCUUAUGGAUCCGCCUAGAUAUUGUGUUGUGCUGUCGCUUUCUAAAGUCUGCUGCUUCCUUUGGGAGAGGCAAUAUAUAUACUAGUAUAGUUUAAUAGAGCUGAAUGGUCUUUCCAGAUUAAGUAAUAUGGUUGUGUAUAUAGAAAGUAUGGACUAGUACACGCCUCACUUCCAUCCUAAUGAUUGAGCUUCUGUCAAGUUUCAAUUCCCAUUAAUAAGUGUUGGAAGCCAAAAAUAAUUGCUUUUUCUUUUCUUUAUUUCCCUGUCACCGCUCUAUUAAUUAUAGAGAAAGUAUAGAUUAUAUAUUGUCUCCACAUGAAUUGAAGUUAAAUAAUAUUCUAGUAAUUUUUUACCUAAAUACUAGCAUUCAAGAUGAUAAAUAAUUUGAUUUGGAAUUAUUAUGAACUAAUAUUAACUACUAAAACUGCAUUAAUUAAUAAUUGAUCACGAAAAGGCAAGAGUUGAGCAACACAAAAAUAAUCAAUGAAAGAAAUAAGGAUCGCGACAUGAUAGGUAUAAGAUAGCUAUUUAGGAUCUAAACUCUAGUUCAAUUGCAAGGAAAAGCUCCAUCACAUUGCCACCCUUCAAUUAAGCGUUUAAAUAUUAGAAAAUUAAAAUAUUUCGAGCAAAUGUUAGUUAAUAAGCAGUUGUUAGCUAGAGUAAGACACAAGUUGAUAACUAACCUUAGUUAGUAAACCUGACUGCAGUUAAGCGGUUGACUGUAGUUAGGCGGUUGAAUAUAUAGUUAGGUAGUUAAGAGUUAGUUAGUUAAUUUAGUGUAUAUAUACCGUAUUCAAAGAAUAGAAAAGAAAUGAUUUUGCAUUUCCAAUUUUUCCUCAAGUCUGUUCUUCAUUCUUCUCAGUUCUCUCUCGAUCUACUAUCUCUUUCUCUCUCGUUAAUGGUUAUGGUUGCUAACAUGGUAUCAGAUCCACCGACGUAGGUCCUCAUCGCAACUUUAAUUUUCUCUGGUCAUCUCAGAAACCUCAGUUCAAUAAUUUCUAGUUGAAUUGUCGUAGAGUUCAUCUGAGCAAAAAGGAGCUAGGGUUUGUGAAUUGGGAGAGAAUUUUGCAAAAUUUGUUCAAUUCAACUAACCAGCGAGUAAUUUGCUGCUAGAAAAUGGCAAUUGGGGAUGAUUCGAGUCCCUCGAGUAGUGUACAUGUUCCUCCUAAUUCUGUAAAUGGUGAUAAGGGCACAAGCACCACAAGUUAUUCAAUAUUAGAUCAUAAUCAUCCUUUGUUCUAACAGUCAACCGAUACUCCAGGAGUACAUUAAUAUUACUUCAGUUGACUAUAUCAGACAAUUAUGCUGUUUAGAGUCGUGCUAUGAGAAUUGACCUUUUAGGUAAGAGCAAAUUAGGUUUUAUUGAUGGUCGAUUUUUUAAAACUAGGUUUGAAACUGAGUUACAUUAUCAAUGGAAAAAGGUUAACGUUGUUGUUCUGUCAUGGAUCAUGAAUUUAGUUAGACCUGGCUGAUUGAGUAGUGUUCUGUAUGCUUGUGAUUCUCAUAAGCUAAUCAAAUCCUCUAGAGUUCUAUAUUUUCUUAGAGAAAUCCAUAGUAUUACUCAAGGAACCAUGACAAUUGCUGAUUAUUUCUCUAAACUGAAAGAUUUGUGGGAUGAAUUUAAUGCACUCAUGCCUUGUCCCGGUUGCCCUUGUCCUAAAUCUAAGAAAUAUUCUCAGCAUUUUGAAGCUAAUAGGUUACUACAGUUUCUAGUAGGUUUGAAUGAAACCUGUGCCCAAGCCAGAAGCCAAAUUAUGAUGAUGUCUCCUGUACCUAGUAUCAACAAAGCAUAUGCACUACUUGUUGAUCAAGAAAGUCAGAGAAGUCUUGCAACAUGUCAAUAAUCUAUGUAAUUACUGAAGGGAUAGAAGUUAAAGCACAAUGUUAUAUAGCAAUAGAGGAAAUGGAGCCUCGGGAGGUAGUUACAAGUUCAAGAAGAGUCAGAUUCAAUGUGAAUAUUGUCAUAGCAAGGGACACACCAAAGAGAAUUUUUACAAACUCAUAGGAUAUCCACAUGACUUCAAGACCAAGAAGAAAGGUUCUACAAGUCCUGGUUUGUCUGCUAAUGGUGUCUCAUGUGUAGAUUUUGCUGUAGUAGAUACUACUCACAGGUACUCUCAACCAUAGUGUGCAAUACCUGAAGCCAAUGGUGCCUAUCAACAUAACAAAUGAGGAAAUCUAUGCGUGUAUCCACAACAAUCAAUUAUCUAUCCAAAACAACAGGCUCCUAGCUUUUGACCUUCUCCCCAGCCUCAUUCAGCUCCGAUUUCUUUACUAAGAAAUAAUAUCAGCAAAUUCUUCAGCUGCUGUUAAAAGGAAAUGAGGAAGCUCUAGGAUCAUCAAGUAGGUUGGCUGCAACAGGUACACCACUAGAGUUGAACCAAAAACUUACAUGAGUGAAGUAUGAUGAAUGUAUCAAUCAUAAGGAAUCAUCUGGGGAUAAACUACUUGAAAAUCCCAGCAGGUAUCAAAGCCUGGUUGGAAGGUUGUUGUAUCUAACUACGACUAGGCAUGAUAUUACCUUUAUAGUAGAGGUAUAAAGUCAAUACAUGCACUCUCCUAAAGUAUCUCAUAUGGAAGAAACUUUAAGGGUAGUGUGGUAUAUCAAAAAAUCUCUUGGUUUGGGAAUGAUCAUGCCUACAUGACAUACUGAGCAUCUCACUGCCUACUGUGACUCUGAUUGGGGAGCAUGCAUAGAAACAAGAAGAUCAGUCUCUGGGUACUUAGUCAAGCUUGGAAGGUCCUUGAUAUCUUGGAAGUCCAAGAAGCAGAACACUGUCUCAAGAAGUUUUGCAGAAUCUGAGUGUAGAAGCAAGGCUGCAUGUGCAACAGAAAUUACAUGGUUGGUAGGCUUGUUUAAAGAACUUGGAGUCAACAUCCAGAUGCCGGUGAAGAUGAUAUCAGAUAGCAAAGCUGCAAUACAAAUAACAGCUAAUCCUAUAUUCCAUGAGAAGACAAAGCACAUAGACAUAAACUAUCAUUUUGUUAGAGAAACAAUCAGCCAAGGACUGAUACAAACUGAGAAUAUUCAUACUGAAGAUCAAUUAGCAGAUCUAUUUACCAAGAGUUUAGGAAAAGCUCAACAUCAUCACCUACUAAACCAACUUGGAGUAGAGAACUUGUUCAGAUAAUUAGUUUGUGUUAGCUAGACUAAGACACAAGUUGAUAAAUAAUUACCUUAGUUAGUUAGUAAACUUAACUGUAGUUAGGCGGUUGAAUGUGUAGUUAGGAAGUUUAGAGUUAGUUUGUUUAGCUCAAAGUUAUCAUACACAUUUCAAGCCUAAAAACAAUUAAAAUAGAUCAAGGGCAAAUCAUAGCAGAUCGUAAUAAUAAAAAGACCAAAUGGAAAAUGUACGAGACAAAUGUUAUUUAUUAAGGAGAGGAAGGAAGAGAUCUUUUAUUGAUAAUAUUGCUCUAGUCUGCCUCUCCAUAGAGAGGUUCAGAGCCUUACAAUGAUGUUCUCUCUCUUCUUAGAAAAAUAGUAAUGAAGAAGAAAAGUAGCCCCCUUUCCAAGGUUCUUUCUCUUUGUAUUAAUAGAUACAGGAUGUAUCAGCUGGCAGUGAUAGCCGUGACUACGCUGAGGUCCCGUCCCUAUGAUGGUGACUAGGCCGUGGCCUUAAUAAGUGAGUCAGCCAAUGAUCGGGUAUGGAGAUUAAUAGGUGGUCGUAUCAUUUAUUAGCUCCGAAUAAGUUUGGGAUAUAAUUAAUUUCGUUAAUUGUCUUGAGGUUAUAUUUUGACCCAUACAACAAAUAAACGAGAGGUUCAGAGCUUACAAGGAUAUUCUCUCUUUUCUUGAAAAUAGUAAUGAAGGAGAAAAGCAGGCCCCCUCUAGGGUUCCUUCUCUUUGUAUUUAUAGAUACAAGAUGUAUGAGCUGGCAAUGAUAGCCAUGACUACGCUGAGGUCCCGUCCAUACGAUGGUGAAUGGGCCAUAGCUUUAACAAGUGGGUUAGCCAAUGAUCGGGCACGACGAUUAGUAAACGGUCAUAUCAUUUAUUAACUCCGAAUAAACUCAGAAUAUAAUUAAUUUUGUUAAUUAUCUCGAGGUAAUAUUUUGACUCAUACAGUUAGUCCAUCCACUUAUUGAUGUCGUUCCUUGACCGAGCUCGAUGAGCGGACUUUUCAUGGUGUAGCUCCGUUUGAGGUCAAUAACGGCCCUAGCCAUUUUUAUGUGGGGGAUCGUGUUGCCAAAGUGGAUGGCCUUAGCCUUUUUGUGUUGAUGACCUCGACCAUGUGAGUGAUUUCGAUCGUAGUCGAAUCAUUUGUGUGCAUGUUGAGGGUGGUCGUAGCUAGUUGUUUACUGGAGAAGGCCGUAGCCUUAAAACUUUGGGCGGCCUUAGCCGUUUGUUCACUAGGGAUGGCCGUAGCCUUAACACUUUGGGCGGCCUUAGCCGUUUGUUCAUAUACAUAUAUGUGGAGUGGUUAUUACCAUUUUAGGCUGGGCGGCAUAUUCAUAUCGAUGACCCCCGGCCUUGUUAUAUGUUAACCUUAUCUUAGAUGUUUGAUUCGUAUACCGUGUGGUUGAAAAGGGUAUGGAUGCACCUGGCACGUAGCUUAGCGACGUUCGAAGUUCGCAGGCGUGUGGAACGUCUUUUUGGUAACCUCAGAACCUUGUAAUCAUUUCGAAAGUAAAGCGUUAGUUUGCGAGUGGACAACCAUUUUGUGGUGCUCGUCAUAAUGGCGCAUGUUUCUGUAGAACCGAACCGUUUUGCGGUUGGCCAUGCACUUAAUGAUAGUUAUUGGAAUUCAAAAAAGCCACUGGUGCUGCCUAUAAUUGAGGAGUUAUGCUAUUCAUCUCUUACGUUUCCAUCUAUUUUCUAAGUGAGAUUUCUGGAGAAUCUUCUGGUUUAUCAGUUCAUCUUGUCUCUUAUUCGUCGUUGUUCUUUGUUCGACACCAUCUUCGUUUUUCUUUUCGUGUAUCUCAUUCUUUUCCCGUUUAUAUAUUGAAAAAAUGGAAAGCAGUUAUCGUGCUACCCUUGCUCCAGCGAAUAUUGCGGUGACCGAAGGAUCGUCUGCCGCCGCGAGAGCUGCCGAAUCGGAAUAAAUUGGGGGAGUCCCGUCGAUGGCCGAUAUUUUAUCCUUGCUCGGAGGCCCGAUGACUGAUUUUACCGCCGAUGAGGGGGAGGAUCAGGUGGAUGAGGCUCCAUUGAUGGGGGAAGUAGGUAUUGGCCAGCUACGGGUACAUUACUUCAUUCCCCGCUUCACCGAUAUAUCUCUCGCUAGGCAUGAGGAGGGGUUCAUACCGACUGUAGGGGGUAUUGCGUUUUCUAUGCUUAUCCUUUUAGGCUGGUGUUUAGGAUCCCUCUUCCGAUGUUGGUGGUUGAUGUUUGCAAUUACUAAAGAGUAUGCCCCGACAAACUUGUUCCUUCCUUUUACAAGCUUUUCUCCAUGCUUAUCAAAUGUGCCUAACUGGCCCGAAGAGAGAUCACGUUAUGGCACGUGUUGACCCUCUACACUUCUCAGAGGUUCCGUGGUACAAUGAUUCAGGCCAUAACCCGUGGGGGUGAGGGACUUGUCCGCAUAGUUGGAUGAUAUGGUCGAGCCUCAUACUAAUAAAAACUUCUUCUACGUCAGGACAGAACAUCUGGUGGCGUGUGCCACUGGAUUCCCAGAGACGUGGAACCAUGCACGUAAGUUUUUCUCUUCGUUGUUUUCUUCAUUCAGCUCUUUUUUAGUCUUGUUCUGUUAAGUGCUAACCUUGCCACUCGCUUGUAGCUGAACGACUACCGUUGGCUCCACUGCCCAGCAUUCCCGAAUGGGUCGAAGCCGUGCUCCCUCAUACAGCGGGGAUUCGCACGUGGGUGUCCUUCUAGGAAAGGCACGGUAACAGGCCUGCUUCGGGUGAGAAUUCUAGCUUCGUUCCGUCUUCCCUUUAUUCUUGCUUGAUUCUUCUUGACUUUUUUUUUCCUCUGAUUAGGGAGGGCGCGCCGCAUGAGGGCGCCUCAAUUGGCUUUUCGCAGGACGGGCCCGACUGCACGACUUGUAACAAUGCCGGCACCUCCUCCAAUGCCGAGGGCGGAUUUGGUUGAAUCCUCGACAGCCCAUUCCCCAAAACGAUCUCCACCUUGGGUCGAGGAGCCUUUGGGGAUCAUACGCCGCAGGGAGGAGUUGGCUCCAAGCGAGGACGAGGAGGAAGAUGAGAGGCCACUGGUCAGGCGUAGGGUUUCAUUUACGCCAGCUUUGGUGGUGAUAAACUUGGAUUCUCCGCCAUCGGACGUGGAGGAGAGUCCAGCGGCGGUGCCUGCCAUUGAGGGCGGACAUUCAAUGGGGGUUGCCCCGGUUGGCUCAGGACAAGGUGACACUACUUAUUUGGCGGUUCAAUUAUCUGUUUUGGUUGCUGAGAGGGGAGGCAGUUCCUCAGCAACUGCAUUGGUUGGAGAAUUAGACGCCAUGGUGUUGGCAGGGGCGGGUGCCUCAACUUCCAGAUCGGCGGGCGGAAAGAGGGGCGCCGUGGGCGCAGGGUCGGACUCUGAGUCCGGCAUAGAUCCUGACGACACUCGCAUGCUUUAGGACGGUCACACCCGCACAAUGGUGCGUGCUGAAGGGCGGCUCCGUUACGUCGAGAUCCCGAUGGAGCAGAACUUGCUGCUUCAAGAGGAGAAUCUGGUGCCGAUGUUUGAGGUACUGUGCUCCGAGGCGGAGAGUACGUCGUUGCGAGGCAUUUUAGACGUCGGGUUGAUGGGUGAGGUGGCUGCACAGAGCUGUAAGGUAUGUGUAGUGACUUCAAGUUCAUCUUUUUCUUUGCUUUACUUUGUGUGUUUUUCUGUUCUGAUUAUUGCCUCGUUCUUAAAGCUUACUUUGUUGGAGGUGGAGAGUAUCCGCCGAGCCAACGUCUGCUCGGGGAUUUGCUCGUGGGUACUGAAAAAAUACAUUCGUUAUCGGAACCGAUUCCGCGAGAUGCACGAGCGCAUGAGGAAUGACCCCUGGAACCGGAACCUUGUUGAAGAGCUGGCGAGGCGGGAACUUUAAAUGCAGCAGGUUAUUAGUAGGAUCAAUAUUCUUGAGGAGCAGCUUCAUCGUAAAGACGAGGAGAUGGAGGUUAAGAGGGGGGCUGGUACUGAAAAGGUACGCCAAGAUCAGGCGAGGGCGGCUGAGGCCCUUGAAGCUUUAACAAGUAGGUGGCCGCUUUGGGGAGUGGGGACGCUUCCUUGAGGUUGCAGGCAAGGGAUGCCGUAUCAAGGGUCGAGACGUUGGAGACGGCUAACCGCGUCCUUGACGGGAAUGGGAGCUGGAGAGGGUCGUUGUGGUCUUUCAAGAGGGAGCUCUGGAGGAACGCAUUGGUUUUUAUGAACGGGAUGCCUAGAUUGCGGUGGAUCAGAGUAUGGCCUUAGAGGGCGAGAAUCAUCAUUUGAGGGAUCAAGCUACCUCUUUCGGUCCGGCUCAUGACAUGUGGACGUUUGCCGAGGCUCAGCUCGAUGUAUACAAAAGACUGUGGGAGGUCGGCAUUGUGCCUGAAACCUCUUAUGAAGAAGCCUGUCAAAAGGCUGGUGAGGCCUUUGUCGAUUGCGGCUUCGACCCAUCCACUCCAGAAGCUAACGACGGCGCCAAGGAUGCUGGCGGUGUUGAUGGUGGUUCGGGUAGCGCCGAGUGAAAACGUUUUUAAGUGUUGGUUUUAUUUUGUUUUUCUAGUUGUUGUUGCCGUUCGGCUAUCUUUUUCUUUUUAUUUACCGGCCUCAGACGGGUGUAAGCGGGGAUGACCCGUUGUGAUUGAAGAUGUAAAUAUAUGCAAUUUUAUAUUCCUCUGUUCUACCAGGUAUUUGUUUUGUGCCUUUCCGAUGUCCUUGGCCAUGGUGGUGGCGAUGGCCUUGACAUGAUAAUGUUGGCUCCGGUGCCUUCGACCAUCGGCGAGUCACUUUCUAGCCUUAGUCACAGACUAGGUCUGCUAUUUAGCGAUAGCAACCUUGGCCGUGAUUGAGAGCUUUUUUUUAUCGCUACCUUUUUUCUUGGUGUAAACAUGUUGUUGUUUGGCGAUAGUGGCACUUAGCCUUAGUCCCAGUUCGGUCGUGGUCGAACUACUGGUCGCGUUAGUAAGAAAUGCGGCCUUGUAUUUCGACCGGGGACAAACUUUAUGCGGCCCGAAUUUUAACUUGAGUUGGUCGUACUUACCUGAGCUGUUGUUCAACCGUGGUUGAACGUUGCAAUUUUUUGUUGGCGAAGGCGCAUAGCCUGAGUUGUCGUUCAACUAUGGUUGAACCUUGCAAUUUUUUUUUGGCGAAGGCACAUGGCAUGAGUCCCAGUUCAACUGGUAGUUGAACUUUUCGGCAAAGGCAUGUAGCCUCAGUCAUUGUUCAACUGUGGUUGAACGUUGCAAUUUUUUUGGCGUAGGCGCAUAGCUUGAGUUCCGGUUCAACUUGCAGUUGAACUUUACGGCGAAGGCACGUAACCUGAGUUGUCGUUCAACCGUGGUUGAACGUUGCAAUUUUUGUUGGCGAAGGCGCAUAUCCUGAGUCACGGUUCAGCUUGCAGUUGAACUUUUCGGCGAAGGCACGUAGCCUGAGUUGUCGUUCAAUCGUGGUUGAACGUUGCAAUUUUUGUUGGCGAAGGCGAAAAGCCUGAGACCUGGUUCAAUUUGCAGCUGAAUUUUUCGGCGAAGGCACAUAGCCUGAGUUGUCGUUCAACCGUGGUUGAACGUUAUAAUUUUUAGUUGGCGAAGGCGCAUGGACUGAGUCCCGGUUAAGCUUGUAAUUGAACAUUUCAGCAAAGACACGUGACCUGAGUUGUUGUUCAAUCGUGGUUGAACAUUGCAAUUUUUUGUUUGCGAAUGCACAUAGCCUGAGUGCUGGUUCAACUUGUAGUUGAAUGUUUCGGCAAAGGAACAUAGCCUCAGUUGUCGUUCGACCGUUAUUGAACAUUGCAAGUUUUUGUUGGCAAAGGCGCAUAGCCUGAGUCCCAGUUUAACUGGUAGUUGAACUUUUCGACGAAGGCACGUAGCCUGAGUUGUUGUUCAACAGUGGUUAAACGUUGCAAUUUUGUUGGCGAAGGCGCAUAGCCUGAGUCCCGAUUCAACUUGCAGUUGAACUUUUCGGCGAAGGCACGUAUACUCAACCAUAGUUGAAUCUUAGACCUGGUUCAAUUUGCAGCUGAAUUUUUCGGCGAAGGCACAUAGCCUGAGUUGUCGUUCAACCGUGGUUGAACGUUAUAAUUUUUAGUUGGCGAAGGCGCAUGGACUGAGUCCCGGUUAAGCUUGUAAUUGAACAUUUCAGCAAAGACACGUGACCUGAGUUGUUGUUCAAUCGUGGUUGAACAUUGCAAUUUUUUGUUUGCGAAUGCACAUAGCCUGAGUGCUGGUUCAACUUGUAGUUGAAUGUUUCGGCAAAGGAACAUAGCCUCAGUUGUCGUUCGACCGUUAUUGAACAUUGCAAGUUUUUGUUGGCAAAGGCGCAUAGCCUGAGUCCCAGUUUAACUGGUAGUUGAACUUUUCGACGAAGGCACGUAGCCUGAGUUGUUGUUCAACAGUGGUUAAACGUUGCAAUUUUGUUGGCGAAGGCGCAUAGCCUGAGUCCCGAUUCAACUUGCAGUUGAACUUUUCGGCGAAGGCACGUAGCCUGAGUUGUUGUUCAAUCGUGGUUGAACGUUGCAAUUUUUGUUUGCAAAGGCGCAUUGCCUGAGUCCCGAUUCAACUUGCAGUUGAACUUUUCGGCGAAGGCACGUAGCCUGAGUUGUCAUUCAACCGUGGUUGAACGUUACAAUUUUUGUUGGCGAAGGAGCAUAGCCCGAGUCCCGGUUCAACUUGUAGUUGAACUUUUCGUCGAACACACGUAGCUUGAGUUGUCGUUCAACCAUGGUUGAACGUUGCAUUUUUUGUUGGCGAAGGCGCAUUGCCUGAGUCCCGGUUCAAUUUGCAGUUGAACUUUUUGGCGAAGGCACGGAGUCUAAGUUGUCGUUCAACCGUGGUUGAACGUUGCAAUUUUUUUUGGCGAAGGCAUGGCCUGAGUCCCGGUUCAACUUGUAGUUGAACUUUUCCACGUAUCCUAAGUUGUUGUUCAACCGUAAUUGAACUUGGCGAUUUUUGUUGAAGUUUUUCUCCUGCAUGACCCAUCGUUAUGCGUAUGGGGCAUUUAGCGGUAACUUUUGGUUUUAGAUUUUGCACGGUUUAUGUGAUGUUCUUCUUGAUUAGUUCGUGCAGGUUAUCCCGUUGUGGAUCUAGGUUUGGAGAUGUCUUUGCGCCUUUCCCAGCGGGUUCUUGCACCGGGGAUACAGGAGUAGCUUAGAUGUGUUUUCCCGGAGGGGGGGGGGACUGCUUUUCUCCUUGCUUGUACUAUAUGAGAGGGGAGUGAUAGAGGAGUUGGAUCUCGACUAGAGAUCUUCAAGUUUUCUUUGCCCGAUAUAUCGCUUCAGCUUGUUUUGAGCUGGGUUGUUCUUUGGUGUUUCUUCCCUUUUGGUCCCGGGAAGAACUAUGCGAUUCUGCUUUGAAAUCCCCCCAGAGGGCAAAAUUAUUUAUCUCAAAGUUAUCAUACACUUUGCAAGCCGUAGAACAAUCGAAAUAGAUCAAGGGCCAAUCAUAGCAGACCGUUAUAAUAAAAAGACCAAAUUGAAAAUGUACGAGACAAAUGUUAUUUAUUAAGGAGAGGAAGGAAGAGAUCUUUUAUUGAUAAUAUUGCUCUAGUCUGCCUCUCCAUAGAGAGGUUCAGAGCCUUACAAUGAUGUUCUCUCUCUUCUUAGAAAAAUAGUAAUGAAGAAGAAAAGUAGCCCCCUUUCCAAGGUUCUUUCUCUUUGUAUUAAUAGAUACAGGAUGUAUCAGCUGGCAGUGAUAGCCGUGACUACGCUGAGGUCCCGUCCCUAUGAUGGUGACUAGGCCGUGGCCUUAUUAUUCUCUUUUUUCUUGGAAAUAGUAAUGAAGGAGAAAAACAGCCCCCCCUCCAGGGUUCCUUCUCUUUGUAUUUAUAGAUACAAGAUGUAUGAGCUGGCAGUGAUAGCCAUGAUUACGCUGAGAUCCCGUCUCUUCGAUGGUGAAUGGGCCGUAUCUUUAACAAGUGAGUCAGCCAAUGAUCGAGCACGACGAUUAGUAAGGGUUAUAUCAUUUAUUAACUCCGAAUAAACUCAGGAUAUAAUUAAUUUCAUUAAUUAUCUCGAGGUCAUAUUUUGAUCCAUACAUAGUUAAUUUACUGUAUAUAUAAAAUUUUCAGAGAAUAGAAAAGAUACGAUUUUGCAUUUCCAGUAUUCCCUCAAAUAUGUUCUUCAUUCCUCUCAGUUCUUUCUAGAUCUACUCUCUUUCUCUCUUGGCCGCUAACAGUAGUACCUUCUAUUAUUCUAUAUUGACGAACGGUAGAAGAGUCAAAUUCAAUAACUUGUUUGACUAGUCUAAAUGAAAUAAUAUUGAUAUAAAACUGACUUAGACUUGAAGCAUAUUAGUUGUCGUUGUGGUACAAUAACCUCUUCUAAUAAAAGAGCAGUAACGAUGAGAAGAUUAUGGUUGGGUUGGCUCAUUCAUAUAAACUCCACGCAACUUGCUAUAGAAUAAUUAAAGGACCAAAUUAAAGAGCAGAUGCAAUAUCUUCUUUCCCCACAACUUUAACAAAAGUACAGUAGAGCAGUAACUAAGACAGAGACAACCAAAAGAUGUGCUGGUAAAUAAAAUUGUUGUUCUCUUAAUUAGAUGUCUUGAGUUUAAGUUAUGAGUAUGAAAAAAUUGUUGAUAGGGAGCGCUUCUCCUACGAAAAGAGCCCUAUAUGACUUAAAUUUAAAUAUAAUUGGGUUUCAAUACGAAUAUCGAAUACCAGGUUGAAAAUUAAAAAAAGAAAAAAGAAAAACUAAGACAGAGACAAGCUUGUCCCACACCAAGGAGGGGCCCGCUUAUCAUUCACGUAAGCCCCAUCCCCCGCUACCACUUAUAGGAGCCACUCACAAAAUUAAUCAAAUAAAAAAGAAGGUAUUUCCGUACCAAACUAGGUACUGGUUGGAAAUGUAUCUAGUAAUUGGGUGGGACCGUAGGAAUAAACAGUCUUGUAUCUCCUAAUUAGAGAAGGCGAAAUGGUUCCUCGCCACUCAAACUUACAGUCGAUUUUAAAAUUGAUAUAUCAACUUACAAGUUUUCUAUUUAAACACUCAAACUUUACAAAAUAAAUACUAAUAAAUAUUUUUGAUCGUUGAUCAUACCUAUAUGGAAGUAUUGUAGCUGAUAUGGUAAACUGUGUGCAAAUCACGCUACCAAAGGCGCGUGAAUGAUAUUGUUUUUAAUAAAAAAUUAGAAUUAGAAUAAAAUAUGAAUAAAAUAAUUUUAAAAAAACUUUUCCCUUCGUUUAUGGCUGAAGCUGAAGCAGAAACGGGAGGGUGGCGAGCUGGAAGUGGCGUGGUUAUGGUGUUUGGACGUGAAGCUGGUGAGGUCGAUACUGGAAUCAGGAGGGACGACGGAAGGUGGUGCUGUUUUGCACGCCUAUAACCUCGCCGCUGCCACUUUUUCCGGCAGAAACCUCGCCGGAGUAAUUUUGUGGGGCCAUUUUUCAGGUCACUUUGAUUUUUUUUAUAUUUUAAUGAGUAUUAAAAGACACCAUCAAAUCAAAUAUAUUAGUAAUAAUAUAAUUGCAGCAUAUAUUUAGAGAGAGAAAGCGAAAUAGAUAGUGUGCAGACGAAGGAGAAGAAAAAUCACAUCACAUGUGGUGAAGAGUAAUUGUACAAAGAACAUUCUUUUGUUUUUUGGGGUCAGCCAUUUUUUCCGGCAGUAUAGACGCUGCUCAACGACCUCUCACUCCCAAAAUCACCACACACAUAAACAAUUUCUUCCUCUUCUUAAAAAAAUCAGAUUCGAAAAAUGGCAUCCCAAAUCAAAAACUCAGAAACUAAAAAUGGAAAGAAACUUGGAUUUUCAAUGGAUAUUUGAAGAAGGAUUGACGUGUAAUGUUUUAAUUGGCUCAGUGUUAAUUGGGCGGACAAGUGAGCAGAAAUGUGACACACGUAGAUGGUCAAAUGUCCAACGUGUUUAUUAGUCAAGAGUAUUGCUAGUUUGAGUGUUCAAAUGAGAAACUUAUAAGUUGAUAUAUCGACUUUAAAAUCGACUACAAAUUUGAGUGGCCACAAAACCAUUUCCCCAAUAGAGAAUAAGUGUGUGCGCGUUAUAGAAUUACUUACAGCUCCAUUUUGGAUUAAAGAAUUCUUUUGAUAGAAACUACUGAAUUAGAGUGACACCGUAGUAACUAGUAAGUAACUGUUACAUACAGUAUUAACAACUGCUCCAGUAGCAUUUUGGAAAGGGAAAAAGAAGAAUGAUAUAAAAAAAUAUUUCGUAAUCACAUAUCAUCAUAUAAUUAUGAUUUUUUCACCUAAGUCUAUAACUAUAUUUUUUCCACACAAAAAUUAUAAUGACCGAAAAUACGAUUUUUCUGUAGUAUUUUCUUAUCCUACGAUUUUUUGUUUUUUAUUUUCAAUCUAAUAAGUAAUAAUUCAAUUAAAAUAAAAAUAUUUCACUAUGUUCAAAUUAUCCUUUUUUGAAAUUGACCAAAAUAAUGAAAUCUUAUUCGUACGUCUGUGACAAAACUAGGUAUAGAUGAGAUCAGUGGAAAUAUUUGUAAAAUAGAGUUCUGAAUUCUUAAAUGAAGUACUUUUAGAAUACAUAUUUCAGAUUUUAAGUAUACGAUUAAAAAUAGCACCAUAAAUUAAUUGUGUGGGUUCGAAUUUGAUCGAUCAUGUCUCAAAGUUAACACGACCAACUACCAGGUACUUACGAGUCGAUACAGGGGUACGACCCAGGGGUAAAAGGAGAAACGUCCUUGCGUCAUCGUCGGCUUUGUUGUAGUAGGUACUUCUUAAUUUGUCGUUCCAAUGAUUAAGUAAAAAUCCUCCAUUAUGUAAGAGGGAUUCAAGCCUUGUAAUCGACACAGAGUUCAUAAUAUACGAGCUGAUUCUCUCUCUCUCUCUCUAACCUUUAUCUCUCUACUGGUUUCUCUCCUUUUCUAUUAUUGUCAUUACAUCUACCAGAAUUGUCCUAGGGUUUAUUAUUUUCGACUAUGAUUUACCCCUUAAGCAUUUUUUAUUGAUUUGCUUAGAAAGAGUUUAACAUCUUUUGAGUCAAAUAAUUUGGCGCCGUCUGUGGAGAUUUCCAUCCCGGUGAGGAGCUGCGAGCGGCUGGAGAUUGCUGGUGGUCGGCGGGGUAGAGGGAGGCCUANNNNNNNNNNNNNNNNNNNNNNNNNNNNNNNNNNNNNNNNNNNNNNNNNNNNNNNNNNNNNNNNNNNNNNNNNNNNNNNNNNNNNNNNNNNNNNNNNNNNNNNNNNNNNNNNNNNNNNNNNNNNNNNNNNNNNNNNNNNNNNNNNNNNNNNNNNNNNNNNNNNNNNNNNNNNNNNNNNNNNNNNNNNNNNNNNNNNNNNNNNNNNNNNNNNNNNNNNNNNNNNNNNNNNNNNNNNNNNNNNNNNNNNNNNNNNNNNNNNNNNNNNNNNNNNNNNNNNNNNNNNNNNNNNNNNNNNNNNNNNNNNNNNNNNNNNNNNNNNNNNNNNNNNNNNNNNNNNNNNNNNNNNNNNNNNNNNNNNNNNNNNNNNNNNNNNNNNNNNNNNNNNNNNNNNNNNNNNNNNNNNNNNNNNNNNNNNNNNNNNNNNNNNNNNNNNNNNNNNNNNNNNNNNNNNNNNNNNNNNNNNNNNNNNNNNNNNNNNNNNNNNNNNNNNNNNNNNNNNNNNNNNNNNNNNNNNNNNNNNNNNNNNNNNNNNNNNNNNNNNNNNNNNNNNNNNNNNNNNNNNNNNNNNNNNNNNNNNNNNNNNNNNNNNNNNNNNNNNNNNNNNNNNNNNNNNNNNNNNNNNNNNNNNNNNNNNNNNNNNNNNNNNNNNNNNNNNNNNNNNNNNNNNNNNNNNNNNNNNNNNNNNNNNNNNNNNNNNNNNNNNNNNNNNNNNNNNNNNNNNNNNNNNNNNNNNNNNNNNNNNNNNNNNNNNNNNNNNNNNNNNNNNNNNNNNNNNNNNNNNNNNNNNNNNNNNNNNNNNNNNNUCUGCCCUUUUGGGUAGGGGUAAGACUGCCUACAUAUUACCCUCCCCAGACCCCACCUGGUGGGAGUAUACUGGGUAGUUGUUGUAGUUGUUGUUGUGGAGAUUUCCAUAGUUGAAAUCGUAGUUCUCACCUAGGAUAUCGAAAGCAACGAUCACUGCUCUUCACAUCCCAUAGAAAUCAAUAAUGGCAGAGAAAGAAGCGAGGUUGAAGUUGAUAGCAAAUGUCUGAAAUAACCUCUUGAACUCCCUCAACAAGGCCGGUAGGGAAGAUAUCGAGAAUGGAACACCAAAAGAUACACCGGAGGGGGAGAUCUCACCCUCUCCACACGAAGAUCUGACGGUCUUACUUGAAAAAGGAGCUUCCGUGUCUACAACAAAAGAAACACCACCAGCAAUCAAAAAGCUGCUAAAGGAGUGGCUGACGAGUGCUCUAAGCAACAUGCUCGAAAAACUCCCUCAAGGAAAUGUCGAAGAUUUGCCAGCGGCAGAAAUCGCAGCUAUCACCGGCGAGCCAGGCACCAUACGAACGAGCAACACCGUCACUGUUAUCGACGCAAGUGACGAUGCACUUACAAACAUCCUAAAGAAAAUGGAAGAAAUGAAAAACGAGAACAAAGCACUUUGUGAUCAAAUGAAAGAGCACCAGGAAAGGAUUGACAAAAUACCUGGCGCCCCUAAGCUGUUGCCAAAACACGAUGUGGGAAGGUUUGUCGAACAACCAUACAGUGAGGAAGCUGCUCCUUACCCCAUCCUGAAAACCUUCAAAAUGCCAACAUAUUUGAAAAUAUACGACGGGACCAUGGAUCCAGAAGAUCAUCUAAUUUACUAUGUCACCGCGGUAAAAGGAAAUGACCUGUCAAAAGAAUAAGUUCCACCCAUACCGUUGAAAACGUUCGGUGAGAAUUUGAUAGGAGGAGCAUUAACAUGGCAUUCUCAGCUACCAGCAUGAUCGAUAUCAACAUUCGAGGAGAUAGCGGGCAGAUUCGCCAUCGCUCAUGCAGGAACAAAGAAGCUUGAAGCUAGGGUCAACGACAUCUUCGCCAUCAAGCAAACUGCGGGCGAACGAAUUUGAGACUUCCUGGCCUGAUUCAACUGGGUAAGAAUGAGAUUGACAAAUAUGCCAGAAGGAAUGGCAACCGCAACCUUCCAAAAUGGGUUAACAGGAACCGGUUAAAGGCAAACAAGAAAUUGCUCAAUAGAUUCAUGAAGAAUCCCCCACCACAUGGGAAGAGAUUCAUAAUGUCUAUUACGUCGAGGUAAGAGAAGAUGAAGACGAUAUCAACGGUCCAACCUAGCGACUAAUGUAUGUCUAGUUCGAGGCGAAGAGGUCGAUGUAACGACAUGCGAAGGGAUAAACUCCCACAUUUCAAACGAGAAAGGCAUCAGCCCUAUGUCAGAGCAUCCAACCCGCCUCUUACAAGUCAUGCAAAUGCAGUGCUAUGACACACCACACCCUUUCAAAAUGAAAGAGGUAUGCCUCCACUAUUAUCUGCUCAUAACUAUUGUGUUUCCCCUUCAGAGAUAGUGUACGCACUGGAGAAACUGGGCACGAAGAUGCAGUGGCCACAAAAAAGAAAUCGGACCCAAGCGCGAGAAGGUCAAAUGUCCUCUGUGAAUUCCAUCAGGAAAGAGGACACAAGACCAAAGAUUGCAUAGGUUUACGGAAUGAGGUGGUCAGGAUGUUAAAUCAUGGGUACCUGAAAGAGCUGUUAAACGAUAAAGGGAGGGCCAAUUUUUCCAGAGGACGCUACCCAUCUCAAGGACCUCUAAAGCCAUCAUCGCCGGCACGUACCAUAUAGGUGAUCAUCGACGGUGGCGACGACUCGGUAAUCAACCACAUGAAGUUCACCACCACAUACAAGCUCAAACAAAUGGUCACUCAUGAAUGAUAUGAUGACUUCGAAGACAGUAUCAUCUUCGAAAAGUCAAAUGUUGACGGUUUGUCUUUCCUUUAUUAUGAUGCUUUGUUUAUUACACUAGGCAUCGCCGAUACAGAUAUAAAAAAUAAUCAUGGUAGACGACGGAAGUGGCGCGUAUAUUAUCCACCCAAGAGUUCUCGCGUAAAUCAGACUUGAGGAUAAAGAAAUACCACAUUGCAUAAUACUAACGGGUUUUAACAAUGCAGUCGAGUGGACAUCCGGAGAAAUAGCGCUGCCGAUCCUAGCAGGGGGAGUCAUGCCGGAAACUACAUUCCACGACAUGGACCAGGAAACAGCCUAUAAUGUCAUCAUAUUACGCCCAUGGAUACUUGCCAUGCGAGCCAUCCCCUCAAGCUUCUAUAAAGUGAUUAAAUUUUCCACCUUGUGGGGGAUAUUCAACAUUUGAGGCGAGCCGCACACCACCCAAUAAUGCUAUCGGAUCGCCCACGAUUGCAUGUAUACCAAAUAGUUGAAAGGAGCAAGCGCGGAGGAAAAUCAAUCAGGCAUUUUGGAAACUAAAAUAGACCCGCCAGCAGAGGUCAUCAGAGACCCAUAUAUCAUAGAGGCAUGCAAGGAAACUAUUGAAAAUCUCGACUCAAUCCAGCUGGAUGACGCCGGCAACAGAAAAAAGGCUUAUAUUGGGCACAACCUCUCUAAGCCAGGUACGUAUCGUGAAGUUUUAACUAGCAAUGCCGACCUAUUUGCCUUUUCCCACUCAAAUAUUCCACGGAUCCCAAAGUACAUCGCCACCCAUAGGUUGAAUGUCGACCCACUCUAUCCGCCCGUACGACAGAUGAGGAGAAAAUUAAAUGCCACGAUCAAUGAGGCUGUCAGUGAAGAAGUUGACAAAUUGCUAGCCAACGGUUCCAUCAGAGAAUCGAAAUACCCCCAACGGGUCGCCAAUAUGGUCAGGUCAAAAGGAAGAACGGGAAAUAGAGAAUGUGCCUAGACUUCAGCGAUCUGCACAAGGCAUGCCCGAAAGAUUCCUUCCCGUUGCCCUAUAUCGACCAGCUGAUCGAUGCGAUAUCGGGGCACGAACUGCUGAGUUUUUUUGAUGCCUACUCCGGCUACAACCAAAUUCUAAUGGCCGAGGAGGAUUUGGAAAAGAAAACUUUCUGCUAUAAAGUAAUGCCGUUCGGACUCAAGAACGCAAGAGCCACAUACCAGAGGUUGGUUACCAAGAUGUUCAAGGAACAUCUCAGCAAGACAAUAGAUGUCUACAUCGAUGACAUGUUGGUAAAGUCAGCAAAGAAGGAGGACCACAUUAGUCAUUUGAAAUAAGCCUUCGAGACAUUGAGGCAGCACAUGAUGAAAUUGAAUCCGGAAAAAAGCUCCUUCGGCGUGGCCUCAGGAAAAUUCUGAGGUUUCCUCAUUAACAACAAGGAAUCAAAGACAACCCGGAUCGAAUCAAAGCCAUAGACACAAUACCUUAGGUAGUGACCAACAAGAAAUAUGUACAUAAGUUGAUGGGGCGAAUACCCGCACUAUCGAGGUUCAUUUCAUGAUCCUCGAAUAUGUGUCACAAAUUCAUCAAUAUACUAAGAGAAGAUCAUGGGCUGUAAUGGAGCGAGGAAUGCAUCGAAGCCUUGAGAAAAGUAAAAGCGUAACUAUCCUUACCACCACUGCUCGUCAAGGCGGACCUAGGUGAAUGUCUUCUUGUAUAUCUGGCAGUAUCCGAAGUCACCAUCAGUGCAGUCCUGGUCUGUGAAUACAAAGGUAUGAAAUCCCCUAUUUACUAUAUCAGCAAGACCUUAGUAGAUGCGGAGACAAGGUACCCUCACCUUGAAAAACUGGCUCUGGCACUAGUUGUAGCUUUAUGCAAGCUUAGACCACAUUUUGAAUGUCACCCCAUAAAAGUAAUAACAACCUUCCCCCCAAGGGGCAUCCUACAUAAACCUGAGUUCUCUGGCACACUUUCCGAAUGGGCAAUAGAGCUCAGUGAGCACGACAUAACUUACCACCUGCGAGCUUCCAUUAAGUCAUAGGUGCUCGCUGAUUUCGUCGCCGACUUCAACGCGGAAAUAUUACCGGGGGCGGAACAAGAAGAGCUUCGUGCCUCCGCGUGUACCGACCUCUGGACCCUCUACACUGAUGGCGCUUAAUGCCUUGGGAUUGGGACUGGGACUCGUCCUUGAAGUCCCUACGAGCGAAGUAAUCCACUAGUCCAUACGAUGCCCCAAGAUGACUAACAACGAGGCCAAGUAUGAGGCUGUGACUGCAGGUAUGAAGUUAGCCCUGAAAUACGGAACCGAUGACUCAUCCUCUACUAUGACUCUCAACUCGUCGUAAAUCAAGUCACCGCGAAUUUCCAAAUCAAAGAGUAAAGACUACAGAAGUAUCAAUCGGAGAUCCAUAAACUGAUGCCAGAGUUCGAUGAAUGUUGCUUUGAGCAGAUCCCCAUGGCACAAAACAUUGAAGCACAUGGAAUCGCCAAACUAGCCGCGACCACCAAGAAUAUCAACAAGGAAAAUAUGGUCACCUUCCUUCACUCAGCCAUAGAUCAUGUUGAGGUAUUCUCCCUAAGCUUUAAGUUGGGACUAGCGUAACCCCUUGUAUCCUAUUUACAGGAUGGAACACUCCCGCAAAAAAAAAGAAGCCAAGAAACUCUGAAUGCAGGCUGCCCCUUACAGCUUGGUAAAUCAUGAUCUCUACAUGAGAACGUUUGGCGGCCCUAGCUAAAUGUCUCAGACUGCAUCAAACAAGACAAGUACUAGAGGAGAUGCACGAGGGCCAUUGUGGUGCCCAUAUAGGGAUUUGCGCCUCUUGUGUGAUGCCUCAUCUGCACCGGCUACUACUGGCCUACUAUGAAAAAAGAAGCAGCAGACUAUCUCCGGAGAUGCGAGCAAUGCCAAAAGUACGCCCCUAUGAUACAUCAAGCAUAAGAAUUCCUCCAUUCAGUCAUUUUGCCAUGGCCCUUCAUAAAGUGGGGGAUGGACAUAGUCGACCCUCUGCCAGCCGGACUAGGUUUUCUCUUAGUUUCAAUUGGCUAUUUCUCUAAAUGGGUGGAAACAUGUGCGUACGCUCAAAUAUGCGAACAGAUGGUCAUCGCUUUUAUAUAGAAAAAUAUUAUAUGCCAUUUUGGCAUCCCCAAAGAAAUCAGUUGCGACAAUCGGCCUUUGAUCAUCGGAAAGAGAAUGACUAAUUUCUUCGAAAAGUGGCACAUCAAGCGGAUACUCUCCACUCCAUACCAUCCCGUCGCCAACGGUCAACCCGAGUCUUCCAACAAAGUGAUAUUAAACAUACUGAAAAGAAGCUUUAGUAAGCUAAAAAGGCUAUGGCCCGAAUUACUACCUGAAGUAUAAUGGGCAUACCGAACUAUGCCAAAGUCCAGCACGGGAGAAACGCCAUACUCACUGGUCUAUGGGACCAACACAAUCAUACUCGUCGAGGUAGGGGAACCCAACCUGAGAUACUCCCGUGGCAGCGGGUGGAUAACGACGAAAGUAGGUUGCAAGACCUAGAUGAAGUUGAACAACGGAAAGACAUGGCCCAUGUGAGAAUGAUAGCCCAUAAAUAGCAAGUAGAGAGAUACUACAACAAAAGAGCCAAGAUUUGAUCACUCAAAGUCGGCAACUACUUCCUCGAGGCCAAAACACUGGCAUCAA
rnacentral:lncRNA from 1 species